rnacentral:lncRNA from 1 species
UCCUUGUUGGCAUCUAAUCUUCUAAGGAAAGUGAUAAUUAAAUCACAACUUAAUUUCUUUCCUUCUACAUCCUCAAUUUGAAUUUGAAUUUGAAUUUUAUAUCUCAAGCAAAGUAUGCUGUCAAUUUGAAUUUGAUUUUUUUUUUUUAUCUUAAACAUACUGAGAUAUCUAACUCAGGUCCAAACUUCCCCUGCUUCCAAAGAUAGCAUCAAGAAAACCCAAAAAAUAGAUUUUCAGCUCAAAGUCACCAACAGUCCAGAAAAAUAUAGAAUCGACCAAGCUAACCUCAACCAAAAUCUGCAAUUCUGGGCUUCCUGGAUUCCUCUGGAAGUCUAGAAUCCAGCAAACCAAGUUUCACUGCAAUCUGACCUUCCUACGACGCACACGAGCCAAAACACCGAUGGUCGUCGCUGGAAAACUGCAGAAUCAGCACUCCUCAAGCUGAAUUUGUGGACCUUUGAUGCAAUUUGAGUGAUUUGGAGGGGUUGGAAUGCAUUUGUAAGCUUCCCUGUGAGAAAGAGAGGAAAAGCGCUUACCAGGGACGUCUCCCACCUAUUUAUAGGGCCGUAGGAUGGUCCACUAAGCCCCAAGAACACAAGCUGCAAAUCUGGUACUCUGCAGAAAUCCCCAUUUCCGGGCACCCAAAACCCCUUUUUGGGCGUCCGAAACAUCGAGGCUGCUCUACAGUUGCGCUUCGGUUCCAUCGCCGCGGUGUGCUGCGCCCAUAACCGGCUUCGGCGGACCUCACCUACCACCAGCCACGUGUCAGCGCAAACGAUACUCACGAGGUGAACUUUCGGACCCACAUCCGGGUGCCCGAAACAUGGAUCCGAAUUGGCUUCCAGUUCUGUCCAGUUCUGCACUCAACUUCUGGGCAACCCAAGGCGAGUUCUGGGCACUCGAAUUUAGCAAAACUCCAGUUUUGCUUAUUUGAGUGCGCCGAGUCCAUUUCUGCAUCCAUUUUGCGCAAAAACGACUCCGACUCAGUCCGACACUCUCCAGAUGUGUCGACCAUUCACUAACACUGAAGCCAAUCCUAUCCAAAGCUCAGAGACACUACAUCCUCCCCCACUACAAAAAGUUUCGUCUGCAAAACUGAAUCAUACCUCAAUUCUGAGCCUCGAAAAGGUAGGGGUAGGAUUCUCUCAUCACCGUCUCUGGCUCCCAAGUCGCCUCCCGCUCCUCGUGAUUACUCCACUGCACCUUUACAAAGGGUAUGACCCGAUUGCGCAAUUCCCUCAAAUCACGAGUCAGAAUCCGCACCGGUCGCUCCUCGUAUCUCAGAUCCUCGCCAAUCUCUAUCGGAGUAAAGUCAAUCACGUUGGAGGGAUCGAACACAUAUCUCCUCAAAGCCGAGACGUGAAAAACAUCGUGAAUGCCGGCUAGUCGUGGAGGAAGAGUAAUUCUGCAAGCAACUGGCCCGACUCGCUCCAAAACCUCAAAAGGGCUUACAAAACGUGGACUGAGCUUUCCACGUACUCCAAAUCUGCGAAUCCCUCUGGACGGCGAGACUUUAAGAAACACAUGAUCUCCAACCUGGAACUCCAAAUCUCUUCUCCGGGUAUCAGCAUAGCUCCUCUGCCGACUCUGGGCUGCUAAAAUGUGACGUCGCACCACUUUCAGCUUUUCCUCAGCCUCAACCAGAAUCUCAGGCCCAAGCGUCCUCCUCUCACCCACAUCACUCCAAAACAAAGGGGAUCGACAUCUGCGUCGAUACAACGCCUCAAACGGAGCCAUCUGAAUGCUCUUUUGAUAGCUGUUGUUGUACGCAAACUCAGCCAGUCUCAAAUGUCGAUACCACCUUUUUCCAAAGUCCAAGACACAUGCCCUCAGCAUGUCCUCAAGAGUCUGAAUAGUCCGGUCUGACUGACCAUGUCUGUGGGUGAAAACGCUGUGCUGAACUGUAACUGAGUACCCAAGGCUGUCUAAAGACUCCUCCAAAAGUGCGAGACGAACCUCGGGUCUCGAUCUGAUACCAUCGUAGUGGGCACGCCAUGCAACCUCACUAUCUCAUCCAGAUAUAGCUGAGUUAGCCUUUCCCUGGACCAAGUGGUCUGAACAGGUAGAAAGUGAGCAGACUUAAUCAGUCUGUCCACUAUCACCCAAAUAGCAUCGAAACCACCCUGAGCUCUAGGCAACCCGACCACAAAGUCCAUUGUGAUCUGCUCCCACUUCCACUCGGGCACUGGCAGACUCUGAAGCUUGCCAGCAGGUACCUGAUGCUCGGUCUUUACCUGUUGACAAGUCAGACACUGAACCACAAAUCUGCCAAUGUCUCUCUUCAUUUUAUUCCACCAAAGCUGGGCCUUUAAAUCAUUAUACAUCUUGGUUCCACCAGGGUGAACCGUAUAAGGUGAACAAUGAGUCUUUCUCAAAAUAUCCUCUCGGAUCUCUGAAUUCAUAGGCACACACAGUCGGUCCCUGUAUCGCAGUACUCCUGAGCUAUCUACAGCAAAACCCUUAGUCUGUCCCCUCUCAAACCGCUCUCGAAUCCUCGACAAGUGUGGAUCUCCACUCUGUUUCUCUCGAAUCCUAUCCAACAGAGUGGGCGGCAAGACCAUAGAUAUCAGUCUCGCAGUAGAUCCAGGGGACACUAUCUCGAGCCUAAGCCGCUGCAGCUCCUCGAGUAACGGCCUCUGCUGAGUGAUCAACAUACUCAAGCUCUACACUGCCCUCCUGCUCAACGCAUCUGACACCACAUUCGCCUUACCGGGAUGAUACUGAAUACUGAUAUCAUAGUCCUUCAGUAACUCCAACCACCGGCGUUGUCUCAGAUUCAACUCCCUUUGGGUGAACAGAUACUUGAGACUUUUGUGAUCGGUAAAAAUAUCACAGUGCUCGCCAUACAAGUAAUGCCGCCACAACUUCAAAGCAAAGACUACUGCGGCCAACUUCAAGUCAUGCGUAGGGUAAUUCUUAUCGUAAUCCUUUAACUGCCGUGAAGCAUAAGCAAUUACCCUACCAUGCUGCAUCAACACACAGCCCAAAUCACUGUGUGAUGCAUCACUGUAAAUCACAAAUCCUUCCCCCAUCACUGGAAGGGCAAGGAUAGGAGCCGAUGUCAACCUCUGUCUCAACUCAUCGAAGCUCCUCUGAUAAUCCUCACUCCAGAUGAACUUAAUUCCUUUACGAGUCAAUCGAGUGAGGGGUGUGAAAAGUUUCGCAAAGCCUUCCACAAACUGACGGUAAUAACCAGCAAGUCCAAGAAAACUCCUCACCUCUGUCACCAUCGUCGGUUUAAGCCAAUCCCGAAUAGCAUCAAUCUUCUUCGGGUCCACUGCCACUCCAACUGCAGAUAUCACGUGGCCCAAGAAAACAACCUCUCGCAACCAGAACUCGCACUUUUUUAACUUGGCAUACAACUUCUUCUCUCGCAGAAGCUGUAGCACAGUCCUCAAGUGCUCCUCAUGCUCGGUAUCGCUCCGGGAGUAUAUCAGAAUACCAUCAAUGAAGACUAUCAUAAACCUAUCCAAGAACGGCUUGAACACUCUGUUUAUCAAAUCCAUGAAUGCGGCAGGGGCAUUCGUCAAUCCAAAAGGCAUCACCGUAAACUCAUAAUGCCCGUAUCGAGUCCGAAAAGCCGUCUUGGGAACAUCCUCGGCCCUCACCCUCAUCUGGUGGUAACCUGAUUGGAGGUCAAUUUGCGAGAAGACACAAGAUCUUUGUAGCUGAUCAAACAAAUCAUCAAUGCGCGGCAAAGGAUACUUGUUCUUAAUUGUCACUUUAUUCAGCUCCUGGUAAUCCACGCAUAACCUGAGCGAACCAUCCAUCUUCUUCACAAACAGCACCGGCGCUCCCCAAGACGACACACUGGGUCUAACAUACCCCUUAUCCAUCAAAUCCUGAAGCUGCGCCUUUAGCUUUCUCAGCUCCGCCGGUGCCAUCCUGUAAGGUACCUUCGAGAUUGGUGCAGUUUCAGGAACUACAUCAGUCACAAACUCUAUCUCCCUCUCUGGCGGCAUCGUAGUCAACUCAGGGGGGAACACAUCCGGAAACUCGCGGACUAUAGGAAUAUCCUCGAGUCCCAGCGCCGCCGUAGGCACCUCUGUAACAGUUGCCAGAAAAGCAAUGCAUUCUCUACUCAUCAGCUGUCGAGCCCUCGCCGAAGAUAUCCAAGUGGCAAACAAAGUACUCCUGGAGCCUCUAAAAGUGAACUCCUCCUAGCCUAGCUCGCGGAACGUCACAGUUCUCGCUCCAAAGUCGAUAGUAGCAUAGUACCGCUUCAGCCAAUCCAUACCGAGCACCACGUCAAAGUCCUGCAGCUGCCCUAACACCAACAGGUUUGCGGUCAUGAUUCAAGAAUCUAACUGCACCAGACAUGACCAACAACACUCAGCAACCUGUAAAAUAUGGUCGGGGAUCUGCACCUCUCGUGCCUGUGACAAAGAUCCUAACUCUAGACAAUGCAACAAUGCAAAUGCUCGGCUAACAAAAGAAUGCGAGACAACGGUAUCAAAAAGAGUACGAGUGCGAAUGCGGGAAAUCAAAAUGAUACCUGCCACCACUCGGUCGGCUGCUGUAGAGUCCUCCACCUGAGCUGCGUAAACUCUGCCACUCGGUGCCUGCUUUCGCCGCUCAGCCUGACGCCGCUCAGCCGACUCGGUGCUGCUCCAAAGGACUGCUAGAAUGCCGGCUACGCUGAUGCAACGGAUGGUGCUGGUGAUGCUGCACGAGGAUAAGCUGACCUCAUAUGCCCAGGCUGACCGCAAGUGUAGCAAUGGCCCUCUCUCUGCUCGCACUGUCGUGGCCAGUGUGGUCCCCCGCAGAUCACACACUGCAGUGUCCUCUGAGUCUGUCCCUACUGACGGGAUCCCCUGGAACACUGACGCCUCGAAGACCCACGAUCCUGAGAGCGUGAUCGUGGCGGUCUCGGCGGACGUCUGCUGCUCGACUGUCCAGCAUCACUUAAAAAGGGGCGCUUCCGGUCCUGACUCUGCCCCACCGCCUCAGUCCUCUCUCGAAUGGAAGCAUCACCUCUCUCAACCCAAAGAGCUUGCUCCAUCGACGCAUCCAAGGUCUGCAACCUCUGCGCAUGAACCAACCGGAAGAUCUCGGGCCUAAAACCCUGCUCAAAGAGGUAAACUCUGUGCGCCUCAUCCCUGGCCAAAAACGGCACACAGUUCAAGAGUCUCCCGAAUGUACUCCUGAACUGUGCGCUCGCCCUGCUAGAUCUUUUUCAAAUCUUCUUCGAGCUUCUGUUUCACGCUGUUGGAAAAAUACAUCCUGAACAGUAUUCCACAUAACUCGUCCUACUUCAUCUGCAGCGGCACCAAUCCAUAAUCUCCCCUCACCCUCUUCCACCAGGCGUGAGCGUCGGCUACCAAACAGUGAACUCCCAGGUGUCCUGCUCUCUCUUCGGAAUGAAUAGAUCAUCGAAUAGAUUUUCCAUCGCACUGACCCAGCCCUCAACAACCCAGGCCUCAGUGCAACUGGCAUCGAAGGUCGGCGGAUCAAAAUGGCGGAAAUGAGCCAACCUCUCUGUCAACCGCCCCUGCUCGGCCUCAGUCAUCUAUACCGGCCCUCUAGGAGGCGCAACUGGCGCUGUGGGAAUAUCCACUGGCGGAGGUACAGCUACGGCUGGUGCUGUCGCUGGAGUAGUCGGAGGUGGAACCGCUUGCUUUGAUGCUCUUGGUACUGGACCUUGUGGCCAAGCUACCCUCUCACACAACCUCUCCAACAACUUUCCAUGCCGCCUCGUCACCUCUGUCAGGGCGGCUAUCUGUGCACUCAAAUCAGGAGAUGCUCUCGCCUCUGGUGGUGCACUCAGCUCUGCCCGCUCAGGCAUCUCAGGUGGUGCGGCGUGAUCCCUGAGCGACAGUUGACCUCGGCGACGAUAUAUAGCUGUAGCGAACAAAACAGGGGUCAGAUACAACAGAAACACUCUCGACCCAAUCAAACGAAAGUCUAGAAGGCAGCCCCCUGUUUCUCCUCAAAAUUAUGUCGUCUGCAGCAAACAUAAUUUUUCAGGCAAAAAUAGGAACUCGUCCAAUCACUCACUCUACUUAAGGAGGAGUUAGAACAAUGAAUCAUUGACUUUCGCAAUAAAUCACGCCUCUCGCGUCUUGCCCUCCUAAGGUUUGCCAACUUAGGGUUCCUAGGUUCCAACGACCUACAGCUAAGCUCAGAUACCAACUUAAUCUGUCACACUCCGGAUUACUCGUUUUUUCGGGCUCGCUAACAGACCCGUCGUAUACAUAGGUAUUUUCCCUAUAUACGAAGCGAAAAAAAUAGUACCUGUAAUCAUACAAUACUACAAAUAGUAGUAUAGAGCAGCUAGAAAAAUAAACCAUAUAUAAAAACUAUGGUUCAAUAUAUACAUGUGAUUCAGGUAUACAAAUACUCGCUCUAGCGAGAUAACAACAACUGUAUGUAAAGACCCAAAAACUACAACUACCUGUAGCUCGUGCUCCUCUAGCUCUGCAACUCGACUGGAAGGGCUCUAACUUGCGACACCCUUGCCACGAUCAAGAUCAACAACAGCAGCAGCCGAAGGUGACGGCUCUGAAAAAAUAGUGAUAACAACUGGGCGUGAGAACUACUACAAAAGAAGCAGUCCUUAGUGGGUACUAGGGGUGGCAAUCCAGCUCGCUGUUCGCGAGCCAGCUCGUGUUCGGCUCGAAAUGAGGCUCCCGAGAUAUCGGCUCGCUCGUUUAGUAACACGAGCCGAACACGAGCUGGGGUCAGCUCGCUCGGUUCAGCUCGAUAACAGCUCGAAUACAUAAUAAUUUAUAUUUAUUAAAUUUAUUUAAUUAAUUUUAAUAUAUAAAUAAAUAAUGUAUAUAAUAUAUUAUUUAUUAUUUUAUUUUUAGGCCAAAAUAAAAUAAAUACGAGCUUAAUAUAAAGACUCAUAUAAUAUAAUAAAGUUUCAACUAUUAGAUCAAAGUCAAAUAGAUAAGAUUUGAUAAAUUUAUUUUUAUAUAUAAUUUAUCUAAUCAUUUUUAAUUUAUGUUUCGUCUGGCCAGCUCGUGAGCAGCUCGUGGUUUGGCUCGUUAAUGAACGAGCCGAAUACGAGCUAAAUUUUCGGUCGAUACUUUAACGAGCUAGCUCGUGUUCUGGUGUUUAAUAAACGAGCCGAACACGAGCCGACCCCAGCUUGCUCGUGUUCGGCUCGUUUACACUCCUAGUGGGUACCGCCCUCAAACUCAUCGGUCCAUCUACUAAGUAUACAGGGAUAAGCAGGAAUAGUAAAGAAAGCUGGAACAAAUCUACAGCUAAAUAUCGCUAUACUAUCAUGCUCUAACUCUAACCCUCUGUAGAACAAUGUCAACUCAGACCCAAUCUCAAAUAAGGACUGUAAUCAUACCUGUUCCUGGGACUGUGAACACACCCGUCCCGCCCGGUUGUGACUAUACAGCUACCUCCACACUAACCAGUCCGUGGAGAGCAAGUCCAACCUACACGAACGACACCAACGCAAAAGUAUAGCGCCCGUCUCCGGAGUGGCACUCGUGGGAGCUACCCAACCGAGUAUGCAGCGUAUUUCUGUCGAGCUCAAUCAGGCUCUAACAAGCCAAAGUCAAGUGGCUAGGGCCAAAACAGGUAUAGAAACCAAACCCACGUGCCCUCGGCACAAUCUGAGACCAAAAACAGAAAUCUGGGUCCACUGUCCACUCCGACGGCACCCGACAAUCUGAAAUAGUCUAGACUCUGCUGUAAAAAUAAGCUCGGCAUCCCAGCACGAGUGUAAAUGCAUUCUAAACUAUACCGGGUAUCCAUCCCGCUGAAACAGCAGUGAUACAAUCAAACCACGGCUCCUAGAGUUAAAUCAGGUAGUAAAAUCAUAUGACAGGUCGAAUCGCUGGUUUUCUCCUAAGUCAAGUUCCAAAUCCAACAUGUAUAUUCGUCUAAUUAAUAAUCAUGCUUCCAAUUCAGAUUUCAUAUAUGCUACAAUCAAUAAAUUUGAGCUGCAACAUGAUAUACAAGAACCGAAAUCAUACAUGUCGACUACACAAGCACUUAAGAGCGAAACCGAUAAAACACCCACCUCAAAUGCUCUUUCCUGGCAGCAAGGAGGUCUCGGAACUGCUGUGAAACUCAGCCGAAAUCACACCAAAACAGCAACUGGAAUACUUGAAGGAUCUAGCGUCGAAAUCCACAAAAAUCCAAUAAUUCAGCACUUAAGCUUAAAUUAGCUCAAAUACAAUGCUAAUUUCACUAGAUUACCUUCAAAUCAGUAGUAGCAAGGUUCCCUCAGCAGUGAAUUGGAUGUAGAAAGUUUCUCAGGUUUAAGACUACCCUUCUCCCCAGAUCUGAACUCAAGAUAUUCAAGUUGCAUCAAUAACAAUGCUAAUUUCAGCACUUAAACUUAAUUAACCCAACUCCAAUGUUAAAACUCACCUAAUCACAUCCAUAUCUGGUGAGGAAGGUCUCAAAUCCAGUGGAGUAUACUGAGAUAUCUAACUCAGGUCCAAACUUCCCCUGCUUCCAAAGAUAGCAUCAAGAAAAUCCAAAAAACAGAUUUUCAGCUCAAAGUCACCAGCAGUCCAAAAAAAUAUGGAAUCGACCAAACUAACCUCAACCAAAACCUACAAUUUUAGGCUUCGUGGAUUCCUCUGGAAGUCUAGAAUCUAGCAAACUAAGUUUCACCGCAAUCCGACCUUCCUACGUCGCACACGAGCAAAACACCGAAGGUCGUCGCUGGAAAACUGCAGAAUCAGCACUUCUCAAGCUGAAUUUGUGGACCUUUGAUGCAAUUUGAGUGAUUUGGAGGGGUUGGAAUGCAUUUGUAAGCUUCCCUAUGAGAAAGAGAGGAAAAGAGCUUAUCAGGGGUGUCUCCCACCUAUUUAUAGGGGCGUAGGAUGGUCCACUAAGCCCCAAGAACACAAGCUACAAAUCUGGUACCCUGCAAAAUCCCCAUUUUCGGGCGCCCAAAACCCCUUUUUGGGCGUCCGAAACAUCCAGGCUGCACUAUAGCUGCGCUUCGGUUCCAUCGUCGCAGUGUGCUGCACCCAUAACCGGCUCCGGUGGACCUCACCUACCACUAGCCAGGUGUCAGCGCAAACGAUACUCACGAGGUGAACUUUUGGACCCACAUCCGGGCCUGAAACACGGAUCUGAAUUGGCUUCCAGUUCUGCCGAUUUCUGUACUCAACUUCUGGGUGACCCAAGGCAAGUUCUGGGCGCUUGCAUCUGGCAAAACUUUAGUUUUGCUUAUUUGAGUGCGCCGAGUCCAUUUCUGCAUCCAUUUUACGCAAAAACGACUCUAACACAGUCCGACACUCUCCAAAUGUGUCAACCAGUUACUAACACUAAAGCCAAUCCUAUCCAAAGCUCAGAGAAACUACACUCCAAUACUCAUAAUAGUAUAGUAGCCAUGGCCCAUAUAUAGAGUAGGGCUACUAUACUAUUAUAAGUAUUGGGCCCUUCGUACUCAUAAGUUGUUUUCAAUGAUGGAGUUUCCGAAUCGACGAUCCACUCCGUUAAAUAUGAUCUAGAGUAUUUGAAACUUCUACAAAAUAAAUUUCAUAAUUUUUCGAAAUCAUAAUAAAGUUCACCAAGCGGGCAUAAAAUGAGCGGUCAAAAUCGAACGAUAUCUUAAAAAUGGAUGAUCGGAUCCUUCAAUUUAAGAUCGGAGUUAUUGAUCUUUAUCUAGGUAGUGAAUAGAAUUUUCUAUCAAAAAUUCAACCUAUUCGGAUUCUUUUGCACCGUUAAACUAGCAAGUAUUCCAUAGCGGCCGUUAAAAAUUGUCAAUUUUGUGAGCUUUUGAUCGUAAGGUAAAUGACGUCGAAAAAUUAUGAAAUUUGAUUUCUAAAUAUUUCAAAUGCUCUAGAUAACGUUUAACGGUGUGGAUUGUCGAUUCGGAAGCUCUAUCAUCGAAAACAACUUAUGAGUACGAGGGUGAUCGUACUUAUAAUAGUAUAGCAGCCGGACACUACAUAUAUAUAUNCGAAUCCAAAGAUCCAUCAAAAAGGAGCCUAGAAUCCACGUCUCACUACCGAAGACCAACAACAACGAAGAAGAGACCCUACUUGAAGAACGCAGGGAUGUCGUGGUAGAAAGGGUCGCGGACGAUCGUGUCCAUGACGUCGAAGAGCAACACGGGGAGCUUCCUCGAUGAUCGCCGCUGCUGCGUCGAGGGAGGGGCGGCGCCGGCGCCGGUGCCAGCGGCGGAGAAGCUCGCCGCCAUUGUCGCUCGCGGUCGCGGAGAGGGCUUCGAAGGGGCGAAGAGGAGGGUGGAGCGAACCACGGAGACCAUCGGAGGAGGAGAAGAAGAGGACGGCGAUGGAUCGCGACGAAGCCGCUUCUUCUAGAAGCCGAGUCGAGUCGACUCGCUUUGAACCGGGAACAACGGUUUGCAUCUCGAACCGAACCGGGAGAGGGUUUGAUCUCUGAACCGUGAACUCUGAACUCUGAACAUAACACAACGCGGUCUACGUAUGAGGUGGUGGACUAAUUCCAUGAACAUGUUACACAUGUCAUUAGGCCUUAAGCCCGGCCCGUUUUCCGCCCAUAACUUAGGCCUAAGCCCACAAUCUCGAAACAACAAAUGGACAUGGGCACAGUUUGGUACGGCCCAUUUUGUAAUUAGAUCAAAUGGCUUUGUUUCGUUCACUUUUAGAUUUUAUAUUAAGUGCUAAAAAUACAUCUACUCGUAAAAAGACACAUUUUUUUUUUCUUAUUUAGCUUUUAAAGCGCUUUAACACCUUUUCAUUUCCUACUUUUUGGCUUUGAGGCUUAGUAACUCGAAGUGAAAACAAUUAAGAGCAUAUUUGUUUCGCCGAAGUGGAGGGGAUGAAGAUGAAGCUGUUCUCGACAGUAGAAGUCCGCUUUCAUUAUUUAGUUUGAUGUAAGUUUAAUUCACCAGUAACUCUAUUUUCCAAAUGCAAGAAAAAAUAAUAAUUAAAGGUAGAUAACCAUAACUUCAAAGUUAUUGACUUUCUAUUUAAACAAACCAGCAAUAGAAAUUAUUUUUAUCUGAACGUUUGUUUAACCGAAGAUAUUUUUUAUAUGAAAGUUAGUAAUUAAUGAGGAAACAAAAAGACCCUAAAUCAUCAUGAAAAAAGAGGACGCCAUUUGCAAAGUAAAUAAUGAUCCUCUUGUUAACAUAACUUACUGACACAAUCAACUGCAAAAAAACAAAUAGUCCGGUGUUGCUGCAUUUUCAUUUAGGGCCUCUUCGUCUCAUUUGGAGCUUCUGCACAAAUACUGAUGUUUCGUAGCUCAGACGAGGACAAAACAAAUUAAUAUUCCUUAUUAAAAUUACGCUAGAGACUUCAGUACUUACAGCGGAAGCACAAGUUUCAACUAAAGCUUUUGUUUUUUAAGUACUCGGAAAGCAAAUUUUAACUAGCUUUUUGAUAUUAUAUGAGCUACUAUGUUAUCAGAAGUAUAAAAUAAUUGGUAUAUAUAUAUAUAUAUAUAGGGUCCGGCUACUAUACUAUUAUGAGUACAAUCACUCUCGUACUCAUAAAUCGUUUUCGAUGAUAUGGUUUCCGAAUCGACGAUCCAUACCGUUAAACGUUAUUUACAGCAUUUAAGACUUCUAGAAAUCAAAUUUUAUAAUUUUUCGAGAUCAUUUACCUUACGAUCAAGAGGUCACAAAUUUGACAAUUUUUAAUGGCCGGUAUGGGAUACUUGCUAGUUUAACAGUGUAAAAGAAUCGAAAUUUGUUAUAUUUUUGAUAGAAAAUUCUAUUCACUACCUAGAUAAUGAUCAAUAACUCCGAUCUGGAAUUGAAGGAUCCGAUCAUCCUUUUUUAGGACGUCGUUCGAUUUUGACCGUUCAUUUUAAGCCCGCUUGAUGGACUUUAUUAUGAUUUCAAAAAUUUACAAAAUUUAUUUUCUAGAAGUUUCAAAUACUCUAGAUCAUAUUUAACGGAGUGGAUCGUCGAUUCGGAAGCUCCAUCAUCGAAAAUAACUUACGAGUACAAGGGGUCCAAUACUCAUAAUAGUAUAGUAGCCAUGGCCUACACACACACACACACACACACACACACACACACACACACACACACACACACACACAGAGAGAAAGAGAGAGAGAGAGAGAAUUGGGCUAGAAUACUAUUGAUAGCACAAAGCCUUUUUUGCUAUCAAAUUUUUAGCUUUUGGAUCAAUUCUUUUCAUCAUUUCUAACUAUUGGAUUAAAUAUUAUAACCCAGUGGGGACCACUCAACCCUAGGGGGACCACUCAACCCUAAGAGACUAGUAUCAUCCUAACCCAAUAAUUUCUCAUUCAAAGGUUUAAAAACUUGAUAGCAAAAAGGAUAUUUUACUAUCAAUAGUAUUCCAGUCAAGCUCUCUCUCACUCUCUCUUUCUAUAUAUAUAUAUAUAUAAAACUAGGCUGGAAUACUAUUAAUAGCACCAAGCGCUUGGUGCUAUUGAUAGUAUCCCAGCCGGACUAUAUAUAUAUAUAUAUAUAUAUAUAUAUAUAUAGAGAGAGAGAGAGAGAGAGAGAGAGAGAGAGAGAGAGAGAGAGAGACGCCAAAGGAGGCCCAUUGGAGAGGUCGCGCGAAGAGGGAGUUUGGAAUCAUGCGUGAGAGGAAGCCAAAAGCUGAGACGAGUGAGCGACUGGUUUAACUUUACCUAAAAUAUUACUUCUAGAGGGAUUCUCGAUUCAUUAAUUCGUACAUCCCCCAUGCAAUGCAGUGAGGCGCACACACUGAUGAAUGGAUUAGCAUAAUAUGCCUCUUUCAACCUCUAUGGCGUGUUUUGUGCGUCCCUCUUUCAUCUUGGAAUUGGAAUCGGAAUGGACGAAAUUAUUUCUCCGUGUUUGGCAUGCAUAUUUUCAUUCCGAUUCUAAUUUCUGGGUGAAUGCGAAUCCCCUAAUUGCCUUUCUUUUCAAUCCGGCCUAAGUAGCUAAGCUGGAUUGGAAAAUUGAAUCUGAGCGCGGAUUAAACUUAAUUUUUUAAGCUUAUUUUUUAAUUAAAAUAUAAGUUUAAGUUAAAAAUUAUAUUUAUAAAUUUAAAUUUUAUUUUUAACUUCAAAUAAAAAUUAAAAUUCAAUCAAACAUUUCGAAUCUAAUUUAUAAAUUUGAAUUUAAAUUUAAAUUUGAUUUAGAAUCUAAAGUUUUAUUCAAAUUUUUAUUUAAAAUUUAAAUUAAAUUAUGGAUUCAAAUUGAAAUUGAAAUUAUAAUUUUAAGCUUGAAUUUGAUUAAAUCGAAAUUUAGUUUUCUAUUUUGAAUUAUCCGUUCAAUUUCAAAUUUUAAUUUUUUUAAAAAAUAUAUUUAAAAUUUUGACAUCAUUUUAAAAUUUUGACCUAUAUUUUUAAUAUUUAAUUUUUAAAUUUGAAUUUAAACUAAUAUAUUAUAAAGAUAAAAUUGAUAUAUAUAAGGAGAGAGAGAGUAGAGAGAGGAGAGAGAGAGAGAGAGAGAGAGAGAGAGUCCCUAAAGCAAGUGGCAAAGGCUUGGUGGUGUGGUACCCCAAGACCCAGUUCGAAUCCUAGUUGAUUCACAUUUUCAGCUAAGUUUAUUUCUAAAUAAAAUAAACGAAGCGGGUAGCUGCUACCUAUCUUCAAAAAAAAAAAAAAAAAUAGUACGAAGCACUUGUGCUACAAGUUUUCCGCCGUUUCUUAAGUUCGAUCAUACCUUUUUGAUCAUUUUCACACGUUAGAUCAUAACUAUUUCAACCAACACCACUCAACCCUAGAAGCCCACAUCACCCUAACCACACAUCUCUUAAUCUAAUGGCCAAAAACUUGGUAGCACCAAUGACUUGGCGCUAUUAAUAGCAAGUACCUAGUUUAUAUAUAUAUAUAUAUAUAUAUAUAUUAGCUAUAUAUAUAUAUUAUAUAUAUAUAUAUAUAUAUAUAUAUAUAUAGAGAGAGAGAGAGAGAGAGAGAGAGAGAGAGAGAGAGAGAGAGAGAGUUUUGGCUGCUAUGCUAUCGAUAGCACCAAGCACUUGGUGCUAUCAACUUUUCUGCCGUUAGAUUAACUCCUCUUUGAUUAUUUUUUAUCCGUUAGAUUAUAGUAUCAUCAACUCAACACCACUCAACCCCAUGGGGCCCACAUCAACCUAACCGUACAUGCUUUUAAUCCAAUGGUGGAAAACUUAAUAGCACAAGUCAUUGUGCUAUUAAUAGUAUUCCAGCCUAGUUCUCUCUCUCUCUCUUUAUAUAUAUAUAUAUAUAUAGAAAGAGAGAUGAAGAGGAAGAGUUGAGCUAGACUACUCUCAAAAGCACCAUGAAGUAGUGCUUUAAGAGUUUUUAGCUCAUUGAUGGAGAGAUGUGAGGUUGAGAUGAUGGUGUAGGGUGGUAGUGUGGUAGGUGAAAUAGUGUUUGAUCCAAAGGCUAUUAGUAAUCCAAUGAGUAAGAUCCAAGGUAGAAACUUAGAAGCACCAAGGGGUUGGUGCUUCUAAAAGUAUUCUAACUCAAUUUAUAUAUAUAUAUAUUAUAAUAUAUAUAUAUAUAUAUAUGUGUGUGUGUGUGUGUGGUGUGUGUGUGUGUGUGUGUGUAUAAUAUAUAUAUAUACUGUGUAUAUAUAUAUAUAUAUAUAUAUAUAUGUGUGUGAUAUAUAUAUAUAUUAAUAUAUAUAUAUAUAUAUAUAUAAUAUAUAUAUAUAUAAUAGAGAGAGAGAGAGAGAGAGAGUAGGUCUUACGUGCUCUCAGGAGCACAGAGCUCUCCGUGCUCCUGAGCACGCGUUUCGAUGAUGGACUCCCGAAUCGACGAUCGGCUUCACUAGGCUUGAUCUAGCAAUUUGAAGUAAUAGAAAAUAAAUUUACAAUUUUCUGAUCAUUGUUUACCUAAUGAUCGAAAAGAUUCAAAAUCAAUUAAUUNNNNNNNNNNNNNNNNNNNNNNNNNAUAUCUAUGAUAAAUUAUCAUUUUAGAUAGAGAACGGAAUUAAUAAAUUUUUUUCAAGUAAUAACGCGAUAAGGGUUUAUAGGUUUACUCAUAGACUUCUUAUUUAAAAAAGAAAAAGAAAAAGGUUCUUUGCUUAUAUAAAUUAAGGACAUAUGACUGCAAUUUAGCCAAAUUGAGAAUACUUUUUACUAAAUUUGUAUGGGCGGGAAAAAAAGGUAAUCUAUGGUGUGUUUGGUUCGAAAUCGGGUCGAUAGGUGGCGGAUCAAAUGAGAAUAAAGUGGAAACGGAAUCGAAGUUAUUUUAUCUAUUCUGUUUUGGUCGCCCAGGAUCGGUGAUGCAUUCCAAUUUAUCCGGUGUUUGUUAGUAUGGUAUCAGAACGAAACAGAUUAUAAUCUAUAUAUAUAUAUAUAUAUAUAUAUAUAAAACUAGGCUAGAAUACUAUCAAUAGCACCAAGUUGUUGGUGCUAUUAGCUUUUUAGCCCUUGGAUUGAGAAAUGCGUUGUUAGGAUGAUGUGGGCCCCAUAGGGUUGAGUGGGUGGUUGGUUGAAUAGUAUAAUCUAACGGGUAAAAAUAAUCAAAGGGGUUAAUCUAACGGCAGAUAAUUUGAUAGUACCAAGUGCUUGGUUCUAUCGAUAGCAUAGCUAACUAUAUAUAUAUAUAUAUAUAUAGGCUGGAAUACUAUCAAUAACACCAAACUAUUGGUGCUAUGAGUUUUUUAGCACUCGGAUUAAGAAAUGUGCGGUUAAAAUUAUGUGUCCCCCCUAGGAUUGAAUGGGUGGUUGGUUCAAUAGUAUAAUCUAACGGGUAAAAAUAAUCAAAGGGAUUAAUCUAACUGUCACGCCCGGGUACCAGCGGAAGCAUAUCCGGUACGUGCACAGACCCGCCAUAUACCUGCAGUAUAUAAGGCGUCUACAAGCAACAAGUCGAUAGGAAGUAAAACAAGAAAGUCCUAUCCUGAUAUCAGAGCAAAGUACAAGUCGAUAUACAACGAGUAUCCAAUCCAAGUCAAUAUACAAAGAGUAUAUAAUCCAUGAUCUCAGCAAAAAGGAGAAGUAACACCACUAUAAUCUCAACCCCGAAAGUAAAAUAUACAUUAUGGGUAUACAAAAGGAAUAGGUACAACGGUGGUCUCUCUAUACAUAGGGACAUCACCCUUGGCCGUAGCCCGAGUAGCAAGGUGAUCGACUAGCACGCUCCUAGUAGUCCCUAGCUAGGCGCGACUCCCUUGCCACGAUCCCUAGCCUCUCCUGUAACAGGCUCUGUAAAAACAACCACCAAAAGGGCGUGAGAACUAUUAACAAUAGUUCCCAGUGGGUAAGCCGCCAGCCUCGGCGAAUUACACCACUAGGCUCAAGAUGUACAGAAUGGAAAUAAAAGCAGUAAUUUGCAUGAUAUAUUUUCAAUGCUAACAAUUCAUAAGCCAAUGUUAACAAAUAAUGAACAUGUAAACAACAUGUGAUCAUAGCAUCAACAGUAAUGAAUUAACUGAAUGAUAGAAGCAUGGCUACUACUAUAAGCAUAAACGUAGCAUAAGUGUGUAAGUAACUACUGUACACUGUAACUGGUAAUUAUUCAUUACUGUCCAAUUUCCUUUAGCACUUUCCUUUCAUUCACAGGGAUCUACUCAAGGUAGUCCAGCUUGCGCCGCGCCUAAUGGCCCCGUGGUAGUAUACACUCCCCACGGCAAUCCACUUCGGCACCCAAUCCCGCACGGGCGAGCAACUGUCGCGUAGGCCAACUCCGGAGUGCCGGCUUGUAGGGAGCUACCCUCACAAGCGUGUGCGAAUGAGCACGAUGGCAAGCAAGCAAAGUCCAUUAUCCACAUGUCUCAAUUUUCAUAUUUUCACAUACAAAGUUCAGAACCCUCGAUCCUCUGAUCGGAAUAUCAAUACACAAAUAGUAACAAAAGCUAGUAUCCACUAGAUUGUAAACAUGUAAGGGUAAAGCUAAAUCACAUAGCAUUAUAAUCUUUCCACUAGUAUGGCACUAUCAACAUAGUCAUGAGCAUGUCAUAGUUCCCUAUGUUAGAGUCAAGAGAAUGUCAUUGUUCUCUACAAAGUCACGAGAAUAUCAUUGUUCUCUACUCUACCAAAGCAUCAUUAGUAUGUCCAAUAGUUAUCUUAACUAAAUAUAAACAUAAACAUGGGCAUAAAGACACUUAUGCAUGAGUACUCUCUACUUCAUAGAGGUUCUAUUCAAUCAUAUGUAUACAUAUCAACACUAUAAUAUAGUGACUCGUCUCAAAUUCUGUAUCAAUCAUAAAAGCAUACAACUGUAUCAAUUCUAUAGUACAUAUAGAACAUAGGGGAGCUCCACUUGCUCUGGUUAGGUCAAACCCACCUAGUACUAGGCUCCGAUUAUCCACAAGAAGUCCCACAACGGCUUAACGAAGCCCCAAUGCUGCUGAAAAACGAACGUCAAGAUCGGAUUAAAUCUACGGCCGAAAUGUCCGAUUUCGACCUAAAUUCCACUUAGUACAAAGUAACUCUUUAAAUCCCUGUUUUGGGACUAGUGUAAUACCUCAAGAGACGUCUCCAAGAGCUCUCACAAGUCAACGAACGAUGAUCCAAGGCUCAGUCGCACUCUUGCUGCGAGCAAAAUCAAAACGGCAUCAAACUUGUCAUAUAUUAGCAACUUUAGUCGGAAUCUUGCAAUUUCAGCUUCCUAACUGAAAUUCUUACUUACCUUAGGUUAGAGUACCUUCUAAACCAGCCUCCCAGGUCACUAAGAUAGCUUAAUAAGAUUCGCAAACCUGCUGCGAAGAAAAAAAGCGCAAGCUAUAUCAAGUUGCGGCAAAAACUCGCGUUUAAUUCCAAAUUCACUUCAUAAUGAACUAGGUUACACAAUCAAGCUUAAAAUAGCUGAUCCCUAAUCUAAAGAGGUUCAUUCACAGCUAAUUAACUCAUAUUUACAUGCUGAAAACCUCAGUUUCAAACCGUUGAAGCAAGAACCCAAAAUCAAUACUCAAAACGACAAAUAGAACAUCGAUAACGGAAAAGUUGAGCCGAUUACCUUCUCAGACUUCCCACCAGUGAGCUACUGGUUCAGGGCUGCGAAAAGCCUUCCAAAAUACUCUCUCACGCGUCCACAUAAGCUCUGCGACGCUCGCAAACAGCGAAGAACAAGCGCGGCGACGAAAAUGAGCAAAAUCGACGAUUUCUUCGUAGAGAGAGAAAAACCCUAGAGAGAGAGAGAAAAAGAGAGAAGGAAGAGCACUUCUCUGAGCUCACACAUGCAUAUCUGAACAUCCCUGGUCGAGCUGGGGUCUAAUAGAUAGGGAUCAAGUGUGAAAUUACCAAAAUACCCAAACUGCCACGAAUCUGCCAGCUUGUACCGGUACAAGGUGAUGGCUGUACCGGUACAGCAAGCAGAAAAUGCUGAUUUUCGCCAGUUCAACGCACUUUCUUGCUUUAAGCAUUCCAAUCAUCCUCUAACUUAUCCGCAAACUUGUUCUAACCUUUUAGAACAUGUAGGAGUGAUCCACACACCAUUCCACAUACUCGAACUCCGCAAUUUGCAAAAGUUCAGUAUAUUACACUAACGGUAGAAACUUGAUAGCACCAAGCGCUUGGUGCUAUCGAUAGCAUAGCAGCCAGACUCUAUAUAUAUUUAUAUACAUAACUAGGCUGGAAUGCUAUUAAUAGCACCAAGUUGUUGGUGCUAUUAGGUUUUCGGCCCUUGGAUGAAAAAAAUGUACGGUUAGGUUGAUGUGGGCCCCCUAGGGUUGAGUGAGUUGUUAGUUAAAUAGUAUAAUCUAACGGAUAAAAAUAGUCAAAGGAUUAAAUCUAACGGCGGAAAACUUGGUAGCAUCAAAUGGUUGGUGGUAUCGAUAGUAUCCCAGACGAACUAUAUAUAUAGACACACACACACACACACUCUAAGAUUUAGAGUUGCAAAAUUUAGCUCAUAUUCAACUCGUUCAUUAUAUGAGUAAUCAAUCUCGAGCUUAUUUCGAGUUGAAUGUGAGCUGGUUUGCGAAUAGCGAGCUGGAUUGCCAGCUCUAGUUGCAGUGUGUACAGUUUUAACAUAUUAGCUCCUUCUAGAAAGAUUUAGAGACCAAAGUUAAUCUGACUCCUUUUCUUUAAUCGCAAAAGAUAGAGUUGGUGGCGGCGAGAAACACAUUGCCACCUUCGCGAGCUGACUUGCCACCACUAGUUACUACAUUUAGAAAGAUUUAGAGACCAACAUUUAAUAUGAACCGUUUCCUUUAAUAGCAAAAGACAGAGUUGGAGGCCACGAGAAACACAUCGCCACAAACGUCACAAAUUAUAUGGCAUGAGUCACGGCGCAGACUAAAACAAACAGAAUGAAAGCCCCAGUCAUGGCUUUUUAGUCCUAGCACUAGCAUGGCCUCAUUAACGAGUAUCAUUGUCGAGGACCAAAUAAACGACGACUCCUUUCUCUUUGGAGACUAAAUUAAUUAAUGCUACAUUCAAAAAAGAAAGAAAUAAAAAAGACGUAUAAUAAUUUUAGUGCCUCACAAAAAUUAUUAAACAAAACAAAACGAAUAAAUCGGGUCACGUUUUUUGUUCAUUGUCGUGGGAACAUUUGAAACUUAGUUAUACAUGGGACAUGGUGCUUGAUCUUAUUAAUUUCAUCUACCUAAUGAACAAUGCCAACAUGCUUGGGAAUCACCAGCGUAUCCAAUAUUCACACUUCACUUUCAGGACUACAAAUCUGCAAUAAUUUAAUCGAUAUCAGAGGACUAGUUUGAAUGUCGAAAUAAGUUAUUCAACGAUAGUUUGCUUAGUACAAAAUUAUUUCUAUACAAUUAAAGUAAGGAGUUGAUUUUCUUGCUUUCAACAUUUAUGACUUGAUAAGAUAUUUACAUUCUACCUAUAAGAUAAUUUAUCUUUUCCAAAGAAAUCAUUUGAACGCAAAAUAUAAUACUUCCUUUUAGAUAUUUGCUUACACUUUUCAUCUAUCAAAUGUUAAGGUCCAAUUUGGGUGCAUGAAUAUCUUGUUUGAUACAUUCUCUUAAUUUAUUUAAGAAAUUCUAUAUUUAGAUGAUGAGAUUUCUGAUCAAAUAUAUAAAAUGUAAUAUCAUAUUCGACCUUCAAUUUAUUUAUUUAAGAUAAAUCACUUUGUAAGUAAAAUAUAUUAUCCUAUCAAAUUAUGAAUAGCAAAACAUUUCAAGAAGUAAAAAAUCAAACUUUCUACUUACAAAUAUAUUAAAAAAAUAUUUUUAUAUCGAAUAAGUUAUCACCCGACGUGCUGGUAGGAAGCGCAUGUGCACCAGUCGCAUUUAAGAGCUCAGCCAUAGUGUUCACGAGUUUCGACCUAACGUAACUCACCUAGAUUAGGCUUAUUAUUAGGUCUUUUGCUGUUAGGUCCUGCUGCGAGCCGAAUUCUUCAACCGCUGACCCGGUCAAAAAUCCUCGAAAGAAAAACGUGUGAGGAGAUGAAACGCCUACGAAUCAUGGACCUCGAAGUUUGUGCUCACCGCAGAUCAAGUGAUUCGGUUGAUGAGAGAUCGGAUCAACCGAAUUCGAUUCAACACAACAAAUUCGGUUCGGCUAGAUCAGCCGAUCGAGUGUACGGAUUGUACAGGAAUAUCUAAUUCGCCUGAAGAGUCGAAAAGCUCAUAUAUUGUUCAAAAUCAGAAAAUAUUUAUAAAAGAGGGUACGCUACCAUGACGUACGUUCUCAAAGAAAAGUCUACUCUACAAACUACUCUUAGAAAAGACAGUAAAUAUGAAAAAAGUAAAAUAAUUACAAGUAUACUACUCCUAGAAACACGAUAAAUGUAAAAAUUAAGUAUGUAGAAGUAUUGAAAAUGUAAUGAUUUUCUCAUUCAUCGGAGAGAAAGACCCCUUUCGCAAGCUUCGGAAUUACUAUUUAUAGUGAUAUCUUCUCAGCCCGCAUUAUUGAUUAGUUUUAAUAGUGGGGAGAGUGCUGUAGCCAUGAUCACGUAAGUUAUGCUCCACUUCUCAACCGUUCCCGCCUAAUUUUUUGACAUCAACAGGUCUAUUGUACAUCGCACUCAAUUUAAUUUAUUAGUCUUUUGUGCCUAUUGUUACGGAGUAGACAGUUAAAUAUAUUUUAGUCAAUAAUAAAUGGCCAACAAUAUAUAUCCACAAAAGGACAAAAAGUUUGUGGGCAUCGCCCCCAAACAACUUGUUUGGGGACGAUGCUGAUAUAUAGGUACCGCGUCAGGUGCCCAUUGCGACCCUCGGAAACAAAAACAAAAAAGAAAAAAAACUGUCGGCUCCGAUUUUUUAGAAAAAGAGAGAAAGAAGCAAGUGAGAGAAACAGACGGUCACAAUGGGCGCCCGCACAUCAUGCGGCACCCAUCGGCUCCGUCCCCAAACAAGUUGUUUGGGGAUAGAUGCCCACAAAAUUUUUGUCCUUCACAAAGUGGGUACGUAAAUUGUUUACCCCUAAACAUUAAAAUUUUCUAUAUGUUCCUACAAAUUUUAAAAACUUGCAAUUAUAUCAUUGGAACCACUAAUAGAUACUUGUCAUAUUUUAGUGUUAUGACUAUUUUUCUAUUAUUGUGGAUGGUAGGAUCAAGCUUUCUUGCCUUUUAUAUAUGUAAAUUAAGGCUAUUUGAUCAGCUUCAGUUUCUUUUAAAAUGUUUUUUAUUGCAAAUUUUAUAAAAACAAUGAAGCAAAUGAGAGCAAAAUAAUCUCUUAAAAUAUAAUAUAUGGUGCAUUUUGACUAGUCAAGAGAUAAUAUAUGGUGCUUUUCUAAGUUCAAUAUAAAGGAACAAAAAUGCUAUAUUUUCACUUUAUAAAAUCUCUAUAUAUAUUUAUUAUAUAUAUAUAUAUAUUUUUGUUUCAGAAAUAAAAAUAUCUGCGAAAAAACAUCAAAGUAAACAUCACGAGUUCAAACCACACCAAAAUUGAAAAUGACACGUGAAGAAAUUUUCCAAGUUCAUACGAAACUCUCUCUCUCUCCCUCUCUCUCUAGAUCUCUCUCAUAAUUAGUUGAUCUUAAUUGAGUGACAUUGAACAAAACAGUUAAUUUGGCUGAACCCGAGCUUUUAAUUUUCGCUUAGGCUUCGCUAAGCUACAAAAUUUGGUCCAAAUAACUCAGCUGCAAAAUUAAUAAGAUCCAUUUGUCGACAUAAAACUUGGAAAAAUUCUAAUCCCGCACCAGAAGCUUCACAUAGUUGGUCAAGUAUGAUGGUCUCACCGAACUUGUCAUUAACUUUGACUCAUUAACUUUGACUCAUACGAAAAGUAGUACACUAAUAAACUAAAGAAUAGAAAUGGAUUCAUCCAAUUCAGUGAUUGGUUGUGAGAGCCUAAGAUUUAUGCAUCACGGACAGUUCUAUAAGCUUCGAGCGGUCGUGUCGGAUACGCGCACGUCUGUGCCAGACUCGUGUCCAAUGCCGACAUGCAAUAAACGUGCGUCGUCCAUUGCGCACUCCAUUAAAUAUUUUAUUUUAUUAUAUUUUAUUACACAUAUAUAAUAUAAGAUGAUAAUUUUUUUACUUUUGAUGAAUGCAUAUAUAUUUUUUUGAACAAUAUAAAUUAAUCAUGUAUGGUGAAGAAUUUAUUUUCUUAAAAUAUAUAAACUAUGCGGGAAUUUUAUUAACUUUUAUUUCAUUAGAAAUAUAAUAAUAUUUUUUCAAAAGUAAUAUUUUAUAUAUAAUAAAUAUAUGUUACUAUAUAUAUAUAUAUAUAUAUAUAUAUAUAUAUAUAUAUAUAUAAUUUUAUAUUUUACGCGGUAUUCAUAUCCUAAUUUUUUGAAAGCCGUCGAGAUAUAUUAUAUCCCAUUUUCUCUGUCCGUAUUCGUGACGCCUAAAUUGUGAUUUUAUUUGCAAAUUUAUUUUGUUAAUGCGCUGACUCUUCCUUUGAGAUAGAUCUCUCUAUGCUAUAGUUAGUGUCUUUUUUUUAUUUGAUUAAUGAUCAACUAAACCCAGUGGAGCCUCGUACUCAAGCACUAUAGUAGUACUGUUAUUAGCUAGCUAUUCAUUUCAUGUCACCAAUUAAUUACCGGGCUUUUAAAUAGACAAAAAAAUAUAAAAGCUAAUUGAUUCAAAAGUUUAAGUUGUCAGAGAACAACACAGCAAUAGUUUGCUCAAAAGGCAUAUGUACUAAGUUGCUUCAUUAACACGACGACCCACACUUAUAAGAGAUGUCGAUCUCGCGUACGUGUAGUCCAUAGAAUCGGGUCAUACGUAUCGGGCACGAACUUGAAUUCAAAGAUGUAAGGUGGCUGGACAAAACUUGCUCUCCCAUUAUAACUCACAAUUUGAGUUCACAUUGAAUCCAUCUCUGGAUGGUGCCAAGCGUAGACCAAAGGUCUUCGUGAAAAGAUGUCUAGAGCUACUGGAUAAAAUUUUCACUAACAAGGAGUUCUCGAAAAAGAAGAUCGACUAGCGUGAGCCGUCAAAAAAACCCUAGCUUACACACGACCCCAUCGACACCGCAUUCAAACAUCCCGAACACGUGCAAUCUUGUAUAAUGUUCUAAGUCACAGAGACCAUCGCGUCGAACUUUAUCAUCUGUUCUGCAUGUCAACUCUUCUAGAUUGGGUCUCUCAUCAAAAGUAAAAAAGAAUACUAAAAAAAAACUUCUAGAUUGAGAUUGAAAAGAUGGUAUAUGUGGAAAGAAUUAAUCUACUUAGAAAAUACCCUUCUCUGAUUUUCAUCCUUUGUGAUCUUUCACUUUCUAUUAUUAAAUGCCGUGAUUCGCCAUAUAUUUUCAUUGAGUCUUUCAUAUUGAGAUUUUAAAGAUGCGAUGGAGAGCCAAUUACAGAGCGCUGCGCAAAUAUUCUUGCGCAUGGUGUGAAAUGUAAUAAUUUGAUUUGAUCGACGAUUACGAUUCAAUUUGUUUGGUAAUUAAUUAAUUAGCAGAUUAAUGGGACGACCGUCAACAUGCGACUGCAUAAGCUGCCGUUCAUAUUACUGCUUUGAAAUUCGGGUUGAUUGUGGAGAGAUUUUGUUGUCGACACCCUGCUACUUCCAAGCUAUAUAUGUGGAAUACAUGUACGUAAUUAAAGAACGUGUGGCUACAUGCAACAGCAGUUCAAGGCUACACGUCAAAAAAAAAAAAAAAAAAUCUACAAAUAUCGUUGAUAUCCCUCUAAACUCAUAUAUAAAGAUUAGAGAUUAAAUCUAAAUGAAUUAAGUUUUAUACAUUUUUAUUUUUAUUUUCUUUUCUAAUUGAGAGCUGAUACAAUGGAAUGGUACUACAGGUUCCUACAAUUGUAGCAUUUCAAUUUAGAGGCAAAUAAAGCUGCUACGCUGAGAGCUAGCCAGUCUUUUCAGAGCGUGUUUGGUUUAAAUUUUUUUAAAAAAAACUCAGGGCAUAAUUAGUUUUUUUAAUUUUCUUCAAUAAAUUAUUUAAUAAUUUUAUUUCUAACAUUUUGAUUUAAUUUUUGGAAUCAAAUUUGUGAUUUUAGAGACUCCAAAAUCAGAAGCAGCUAAAAAUGCAUGCUUCCGAAAAUUUGAUUCUCACAAAAUUGGACACUAACUCAAAUUUAAAUUCACAUUUUUUAUUUUGAUUCAAAUUUUAACUUUUUAAUUUAAUUUUGAAUUUGAAUUUAAAAUUUAUAUUCAGAUUUUUUUAUUUGAAUUUUGAAUCCAAAUUCAGUUUUUCAUUUCAAUAUUGAAUUCAAAUUUAGAUUUUAAAUUCAAUUUCAAAUUGAUAUUUAAAUUUUUAAUUCAAUUUUUAAAUUCAAAUUUAGAUUUUGAAUUAAAAUUUUAAAGUUAAUUUUAUAUGUUUUUUUUCAAAUUUGAAAUUUAAAGUCUAUAUUUGAAUUUGAAUUUUAAAUUUAAAAAUUUAAAUUUAAAUCUAGAUUAGGAAUUAAAUUUCAACUUUAAAUUCAAAUUUAUAUUUUAAAUUUUAACUUUAGAUUUUUUUUAAAAUUCAAAAUUUUAAAAUUUAAAUUUGAUACUUUGAAUUCAAAUUGUAAAAUAAAAUUCAGCUAAAAAAAACAUUACAUGCAAAAACAACAAAAAAGGAAAUUACCAAAUAGCUUAUCACAUGCAAAUAACUUAUUUUUGUUAAAACAAAGUGUCCGAGAGAUCAGUGCAAAUCUGAAAAUCAGUGAAUGCUUGACGAACGAUGGAUGGAGUUAGAAAAAAAUUCUAAGAGGUAACCCAGCAGUUAGAAGUGGUGCUAGGUCAAGUAUGUUAGCUCUUAGGAUAAGGGUUUCUGACUUCAAGUUAGAACAUAGACUGGAUGAUAUUAUUUCGCGAGGGGGCACUAAUGGAAGAUUCUUUGUGAAAUCAACUUAUUCAGUGCUAAAUGAUAGGGAUACGAGGGAUGCUCGCACAAAUUAUGGAGACUCGAAAUAUUCCUGAAAGUGAAAGUGUUUACAUGUCUCAUCCUGAAGAAAAGAACACCGUCAAUGGAUAAUCCCCGAAAGAGAGGUUGGAUAAGAAACACAUUAUGCGCAACUUGCGGGGUUGAAGAGGAAAAUGUGGGCCAUUUAUUCAGGCAAAGCGUCUUGGUAGAUUUCUGAUCAUGAUGACUUUAGAGGGGAUUCUUUUGAGGGAUUGAGAGGACGAUGUGAGAUUUGUUUGGAAUAGGUGGAUAGUAAGGAACAGUGUGAUGCCACAUCGAAUUAGUUUGAUAGGUCUGCCUGCUUGCUAGUGGGUAAUUUGGGAUGUGAGGAAUAGUGUGGCCAAUGCUGACCCUCUUUUGGCGAUUGACAAGAUCAAGCGAUUCGUGUCCCAAGAGGCAGAAUUUCUCUCGCCUAAUCAUCAUCCUUCUUAUUUAUUUUUUCACUUUAUUGCUUAUUUACAUUUUGACUAAGGCCUAUCAGCUUACUCUUGUUGCUUAAUUUAUUGUUCUAAUGAAUGGAGCAUGUAGUAUGCUAUCUUUUCUCAAAAAAAAAAAGAAAAUAAAGUGCAUAGUAAUUCUACUUAUCCGUAAUGUAGAAUUUAUCUCUACCAAUCAAUAACUACAAUUUACUAAUCGCUUGAAGAAUAGGAUCCACUGUAGAAUAAUUUUUCCUUGUGAUUUGAAUUUAUCAUACUAUAUAUAUUCAACCACGCUAUCUAAUCUUUGAAUUACCAUUUUUUUUCAAAAAAUUUAAAAGGAAAAAAAGCACUCAAUACAUUGAAGGCCUAUUUGCAUAAAAAGAGUUCACGGAUUUCGUUUUUUAUCAAAAAAGCAUCAUCAUUUUAGAUUUAUAGACACAAUCCAAAUUUUUAAUACACUGAUUAAAAUAUUUUUAUUUCCUUUUUUUUUCUUCUUUACUUUUGCUUGUUCGUUUUUCUCUUUUCGCUCCCAAUUUGGCUUCCUUCUCGCAGUUUUUUCUUCUCUUUCUCUUCCCGCUUUCUCUCACUCCUCCUCCUCCACCAGCCCUAUAUUUAUGCCGUGCUUCGCUUUCUUACCUAGUCCAUUCCUCCAUUAAUUGAUGCUGGCUCUGGUAUGGCACGUGAAGAUGAGGCUGCGCUAGAAUGCAUGACCGCGAAUGGUACCAGCGAAGGGGUUGCCGUAGGAUUUGAGGACGAUCGGAAUGGAGAACGCGUCAAGCGGGAGCGAUGACCGCUAUAGAAAGCGAGGGUGGGGGUACAAUAACAAAAAAAAUACAUAAAAUGAAAGAAAAGAAAGAAUAUAGAAUAAAAAUUUAAAAAUAAAGAAAUAUAUAUAUAUAUAUAUAUAUAUAUAUAUAGAAUUAGGCUGGAAUACUAUUAAUAGUAAAACGCUCUUUUUGCUAUCAAGUUUUUAACCCUUGGAUGAAAAAUUGUAGGUUCAGGAUGAUAUUAGUCGGUUAGAGUUGAGUGGUCCCUACUGGGUUAUAUUAUUUAGUCCAAGGGUUAGAAAUAAUGAAAAGAAUUGAUCAAAAGCUAAAUAACUGGUAGCAACAAUGGAAUUUUGCUACUAAUAGUAGUCCAGUCCAACUAUAUAUAUAUAUAUAUAUAUAUAUAUAUAUAUAUAUUUCUUCUGAGAAACAUUAUAUGCCGUGGCUAGCUACAAGAAAGACGAAAUUGUAUAGUUUUAAACAAAAAUUGUAUUUUUUGAGUCCAAAUUUACACAAUUGGAGACAAAAUUUAUAUUGUUUGAGAUAAAAUUUAUACUAUUUGCGAUAAAAAUUAUAUUUUUUUAAACAAAAAUAAAUUAUCUUUUGUAAAAAAAUAUAAAACUGAUAAAAUUUUUAUGCAAAUUGGCCUCCAUUCGAACCAUUUUUUUUAUUUUAAAUUGGUGUCUGAAACGAAAGGGACAAAAACACGCGAGUACCGAAACACGUACGAGUGUUGGGAACGAAACAAAUGGCGAUCGCAGCGUACACAUCGCCAACGAACCAUUUUCAUUGGUUGUUGCGAUCGAACUAGCAAUGUUAUAUUAACAUUAGCAAAAGGACAAAAAAAAAAAAAAAAAAAAAAAAAAUACAGUGCAAAAAGUACAUCAUCAGCGUUACACGACGUUAUCUCGUGGCGUUUCAUUUUCAAUAAUAAAAUUAACACAAGUUGUACGCGACACACCGUUGUACGUGCAAUAUUAUCGGUAUAUUUUUAAAUUAGAUAAUGUUUUGUAUUUUAUUCAUGAUCUAAAUCUCAAGUUCUCUUUCUAAUCUUUUCAAUUUUUAUUUUUAUUAAAACUUUUUAGUUAAUAUAUUUUGACCUGUAUCCACCAAUAUUAGAGGGGGAGCACACAACACAAAAGCAUUUUUCCCUAUUUUAUUCACUCACUUAUUAAAUAUCAAGAUUUCAUUUUCAAAAUUUUAUGAUUUUGUUUCCACAAUUGAGAGCACGUCUUGCAAACUGCAAAUCACAUUAUUUCAAUUAAGAUAAAAUUUUUUUUAGACUGCUGCCAAAAGAUUAAAGAAAUAUAUCUUUAUAUGCUCUUUGUUGAGAGUCCACAAUUUGCUGAUUACUGUAAAUUUAUUAUUCACCUCAAUAUCAAUUGUUGGAUUCUUCAAUAAAAGCGUCCAAUCAAAUUUUUAUCGUAAAUUCGUCUGCUCAGCAAAAGUUGGCACAAGUACAAAAGACAGAAAAUCUAAACAGAAAAUAUAUGUAAAAUAAAAUUCACUAAUCGAGAGAAGAAUUACAACUGACUUUUCUUUUAUACUAAUAGCUUCAAUAAAUCCAGAAUACUUCUCUUUUUCUCUCGCACAUAUAUCUGUGUGAUACGAGCAUGCAGUCAUGGCCAUCUCUCUCUCUCUCUCUCUCCGCAUACAGACUACCAAGCAUUGGCACUAUAACUUGUACAUGCAGCUUCACUCGACAGCUCGUAAUCCUCGAUCACCUCAAUCAUGCAUACACUCUUGAAGCUUCACCCGAGAGCACUCGCGGCUCGGCCGUACACCUCUAGAAACUAUAUGGUGCUUACAUAGGUGUACCGUUGAAAACGUACGCUAGAUCCAAAAAUAUAUAAUUAGAUUUUUACUCUAAUUUAAAUCCUCGAUGAUAUAUCUCCAACAGAUCUAAAGCUCCAACCUAAUAUAUAGUAUUUAACUAUAAAUCGAACCAAAUCUUAACAUUGUAAUUCAUCCCAAGUCUCUUUAACCCAAUACCAUUACAAGGCCGUCAGUAGCAAAACUAGUGCUUCAACAAAUGUUUCGUAUGGUAUUAGAGUAAGAUAUUUGAUAUUUGUUUUCUGUCCUGCUCAUGCAUAUGUGAUUCUAAUUAAAUAGGAAAAUAACUUGCACCUGUUAGUUUAAAGUGCACGCUAUAGAUCUAAAUAAAAGUCUCGAGUUCAGAUAUACGACACCAUGUUAAUAAUCAAAUAUUACAACAUAGUUCAUUAAUUACAAGGAUAACAUCUUGAGACUCGCCAAAAUGAUUGAGAGCAAAAUCAAAAUCAAGACAAUACAAGUCUAUCCAACUCAAACAAGACAUGCCAUGAAACUAUUACCGUGUAAACCGACCAUGUAACUCGAUCAUUCAGAGCCAAGUUCUAAGUAGCUAGGGAUAGUUCUCAAGUUGAUCAAACUAACUCAAUCGUCAAAUACGAAUACGUCCCGUGAACCAAAAUUAAGAUCUUUAUUUAACACACGCAUACUCCCACUUUCUUAAAAAACUGGUCUCUAGUAUAAUACAACCGCUUGGUGAAAAGUCUACGCUUCUGUAUAUAGUUACAACAAAUAGCAUACCCUAGCUAGGGGGUGUAGGCAUGUCUAAAUACGGAGCCCUCAACCAAGGUUAUGCUAUCAAAAAAUUCCCCUACUAAUUUACCUUGUUUAGAGUUUAUCUACUCUUUUUAGUCAUUGACUCUAUUAGCUAGAGAUAAAGUUCUUAAGUUACCCCCCAUUUGGCUUCAAUUUGUCUUUUUACUCUUCUUUUAUAUAUUCAUCAUUAUCCCUCCACACAUUUUUGCAUGUUCAAUCCAUUUUAGGUUUUAAAUAGGGUGUAUAUAUUGGUAAAAGUAAGCAUUAAAUAUUGAGCAAUUUAUGAUCAUAAGCUUAAGGAACCAAGGGAGGCUUAAACUACAAACGAAGUGAAACUUCUUUAUAAUCCUGAGAUCCUAUGAUUGGUUGAGAACUGAGUUGACAUUUUUCCAAGUCAACUCUUUGGAUGCAAUGUUGUUUAACUCAUGAAAAGUCAAUGAGCCAGCUUGAAAUCAGAUAUUAUUGUCAACUGUUUGAUCGGUUCUGAUUAACUCGAAACAUUACCAUGUAAGAAGGGAUUAAUAUGAUUAAAUUUGUCGAAUUCUCGGUGUCGACUUAUGAUUAGUAUACUUUUAGGAUAUCAUUUAAAAUGUGAUUAAGGUGAAAAUGUAGGGAACCCAAACUAAAUUCAACAGUCAUUCUAGUAAAUAAGUCACCCGAAUUUAUUUACUAUAAUUAAAAAUCUACAAAUUAACAAUAAGUAGCUAAUAUAGCCACCAAGUAUAAUAGAAUCUUUAAUUAAUUAACCAGAUAAAUUAAUUUAAAUAAAAGAAAUCAGACGUUGAGAGAUGUGAGCUAAUUAAAUAAAUCUUGUGGGGCCUACUUGAAAAUAAAUAUCUAUAAUUUCCUAGUUGUACAUGCCUAAUAUUUUGCUCUAAUUUAAAAUAAAUAAAUAAUAAAUAAAAUAUUGACUAAGAUGUUAAUUCGUAUUAUUGUCGAGCAUUUUGUUGGAGAAUACGUAUUUUGUGACCGUGAAGAUAAGGGUGACAAAUGGCAUGCUUACAGAACAAAAGACAAAAUCAGUGUUGACCUAGUACAGUAUAUUUAAUUUUAUUUUAUUUUUUCAAAAUAUGUUAAAGCUUUAAGCAGGCGAACAAACUAAAUUAUUUAAUUUCUUUUGACCAAACUAUUUUAGCAUAUUUUUCUCGUAAUUUAUGGGUAGGCACCAAACACCCAAAACUCAGCUAAGUCUCUUUAAUUAAGCCGUCAAGAAUAAGAUUUUUUUUUUUUUGAGAAAUAGGUAGCAUGCUACCCGUUUCAUUUAUUUCAUUUUAUAAAUAAACUUAACUGGAAAUGUGAAUCAACUAGAAUUCAAACUUGAGUCUCGGGUACCAAAGGGCUCUACCCGAGACCCAAAUUCGAAUUCUAGUUGAUUCACAUUUCUAGCUAAGUUUAUUUCUAAAUGAAAUAAACGAAGCGGGUAGCGUGCUACCUAUCUCUCAAAAAAAAAAAAUUAAACCGUCACGAAGUCAAACAUAUUAUUUUAGUAAUCGCCUAAACCUUCACACAUAUAUAUCAAAGCUUUUGCUUGCUUUUUCAUUAGUAGAAUCAACAAAUUAGAACUUGGGUAAAGUUCUUCAAUAUUCCAUGAAUGAAAUUGUAAAAUAUCAUAGUGCCGUUACAUAUUAUAUAUACAUUAAAGGGUUCAGGAUUUAGGUUUUGGAUUUGGGGUUUAGAGGGGCACUCAGGAUAGAUUUAAAUGUUUGAUAGAUAUGAAUGAUAGAUUUAUACGUUUAGAAGAAUAUAUAUUAUAUUUUUAGAUUGUGAAGGAACUUGAAUGAUAUUUUAAAAUUUUAGAAGGUUAUAUUUGAAAUUUUACUAGCCACAUUGAAGUGACCAGUUAAGAUCAGUCCAUAGGGUCCUAAGAAUGCAAGUGAAUUCAAGUUGGUGAAGCUCCCGCUCUAAUCUGGUCCUAAUGGGAUGGUAAGUGAGAAUAAAAAAUAUAGAAAAAAAUAAUUCGUCUCUCAAAUCUGCCAAGAUUUGCUAAGUAAAUAGAGUAGGAGACGAAAGACCUCUUUCUUUCUUUGAACCAUCGCGAUCCACCAAAAAUUCGCUCUCGUCCGAAUCCGUUUUGAAUAGAGUGAUAAGUGGCCGCCAAAAAUAAGAUUAAAAGUAAUCCGCUCUGUAUCCGUCCCGACCCAACAAAAAAUGAAGAUGGAUGAAGAAAAUGCCUCCUGGCUCUCGAUCUGCCCUAUUUGCAUUCCUACUCUAUUCUAGAAUAGAUAGAAUUUAGGGUGGGUUUGGUUCGCAUUAAGAAAAAUUACUAGGGGUAAAAAGAUAUCCGAAAAUCUUAUUCCUAUUCAUCCUAUUACUAAAAAUGUAGUAUUUCGGUGUUUGGUUCGCACGGUCAUAUUAUUUAGUCAUAUUAUUUAAGAUUAUGAAAAAUAUACAAUUAAUUAAUUUAUUUAUUUAAUUAAUUUUAAAUAAUACUAUAAAAAAUUUCAACAUCUUUUAAGAAAAAAGAGAGAGAAUAUAGGUUAGAAAGAGAGAGUAUAGUUAAAAAAAUAGAAAGAGAAAUAGAGUCAAGGCUAGAGAGAAUAAAAGGGUUGAGAUUUUAGUAAAAGAGAGGGAGAAAUAGCUUAAUUUAGAGAGAGAAAAAGAAUUGAAGUUUAGAAAAAAAAGAGAUAAAUUUAGAGAGAGAUAUGAGGUUAGAGUGUAAAGAAAAAUAAUACCAACUAGUCGGUGGAUGGGAAGAAAAAAAAAGAGAUUAGACAUAUUAUAAUUACUCAAAUCCAUUAAUAUAAAAAUACUUACCCUCCUCAAAGGAAUGAGAUUAGUACUUUGGAAUGCAUCUCAAUCCCAAGUAAAUUUACCAACUAGAUUACUUAGUGCGUUUAGCCAAACACCGUCAUAUUUUUUUAUUUUUAUUGGAUUAUUAGAAAUCUUAAAAAUAUAGCGCGAACCAAACGCACCCUUAAGGUGUAUAUUUAGAUCUAAUAUUUAUCUUAUAACUUAGUAAUUUUUAUGGCAAAGAACAUUAUCUUAUAACUUUGUUCUAAUUUAUCCUAUUAUGCUUUAUUGGGGAAACAAUGGAGAUGCAUGGAAAUAAGGGCCGAGCUAGAAACUAUUCCCGCAAGGGGCAUGAGAUUUUUUAGGUAACUUACUUGUCUUUUUAAAUGCAACAAAAGGCUGAAAAAAUAUUAUAUCCACUAAAUUCACAUUUCUCAGAAUUAGAAUCUUAUUUGCCUAAACGCACUACAAAAAUGCUAAAAGCACCAAAAAUUAGAGGCCAUAAAUAGACAACUGGAAUGCUUGUAAUGCAAAGAAUAAUGCAAUAAUAAUAUGAAACUAUUGCCUUGGGUAUUAAAGAAAUUUUUAAAAAAACGUGAAAUAUGAAGCAAAUAAGAAAACUUACUACUCUCUCUCUCUCUCUCUCUCAAGAGAGAGAGAGAGAGUAGGACUAGUUAUUUUCAAGGCCUUUUUGCAUAAAAAAUCUACUUAUUUUGGGCUUUUGCAAAACCGGGUCACCUUUUUCGUUUUUGCAGAUUCGGUCCGCUUUUUCAGCAAACUGACCAAAAUACCUUAUUACUUUUUCUCUUUCCUCUUUCUCUCUCCUCUUCGUUUCUGUCGUUCUUUUUUUUUUUUUCUCGCCGAAAAAAAAAAGGCGGACCAUCGCCUUCUUCUUCACCGUCGCCUCCCUCCUCACCAUCCUUCUUCACCGUCGCCCACCACCCCACCCUUCUCUCCACCGCCCGCGACCCCCUCCUCCUCUCCUCCGCCGCCGCGGACCCCCAACCCGAUCCCGUCGCGGCGGCGGCAGCGGCCGCGGCGAACGGGGUCGGGCUGGAUGCGGAGAAGAAGACAACGGCGAAGAAGAAGAAGGGGAGGCCAAGCGGUAGGGCGCAGGAGGGGAAGGCGGAAGCGCAACCGGCGCCGGCACCAGCGCAGCGCGUGUUCUUCUCCGUCGGCGCUGCCCCUCCUCCCGCCGCCGCGCAGAAGCCGCCGACCAGCGCCUCUGCUUCUCCCACGACGACGUCAAGACGCCGCGUCCGCCGCGGACCCCCAGCCCGAUCCCGUCGCCGCAGCGGCAGCGGCCGCGGCGAACGGGGUCGGACUGUUUUUUAUUUUAAACUGCACCAUUUAAGAGAUAUUUAUACUGCUUCUCCUCUGUUGCACUGUUUCUCCUCUUAUUGCACUGUUUCUCCGUCUUUAAGAGGAAAAAGUGCAACAAGAGAAGAAACAGUGGACAAGAGGAGAAGCAGUAUAAAUAUUCUCUAAAUGGGUGCAGUUUAAGAUAAAUGAGUGCAGUUUUUUUUCUUGUUUGCACCAUUUUUUCUCUGUUACACUGUUUUUUAUUUUAAACUACACAUUUUUAAGAGAUAUUUAUACUUGCUUCUACUCUUGUUGCACUGUUUCUCCUCUUGUUGCACUGUUUCUCCUCUUUAAAGAGGAGAAACAGUGCAACAAGUUAAAUGAGUGCAGUUUAAGAUAAAUGGGUGCAGUUUUUUUUCUUGUUGCACCAUAUCUUCUCUUUUAUUACACUAUUUUUUAUUUUAAACACACAUCUUUAACAGAUAUUUAUACUGCUUCUCUUGUUGCACUGUUUCUCCUCUUGUUGGCACUGUUUCUCCUCUUUAAAGAGGAGAAAACAGUGCAACAAGAGGGAGGAGAAACAGUGCAACAAGAGGAGAGCAGUAUAAAUAUCUCUUAAAUGGGUGCAGUUUAAAAGAAAAAACAGUGUAACAAGAGGAGAAAUGAUGCAACAAGAGGAGAAACGGUGCAACAAGAGGAGAAACAAUGCAACUUUCAUUUAAAGAGUGUAAUUUUUAUCUUAGUGGGUGCAGUUUAUAUACUGAAAGAGUGCAAUAAGAAGAGAGAACAGUGUAAAUAUCUUUCAAGAGUGUAAUUUUAUUUAAAAAGUGUAAUUUUUUAUUUUAAGCUGCAGUUUACAUCUUAAGUCGUGCAACUUGUAAUUUUUUUUGUAGUUAACGAUACAAUUUCAUCUCAUCGUUUUUUAUAUAAUUUUUAUCUUUAUUUUUUUUUCUGUUUUUUUUUUUGUUACCCUCUCUGUCAAUAGCCACGGUGUCGGUGACGACGCCCUAAAGACCCCCACUCCAAGGCUGCAGCGCCGCAGUGAUCUCCACGUGUCGGCGUGGUGCGCGUGUCGCGAAGAUGCAUCGUCGUCGGAGGCAGCAGAGAAGGAGGGAGAAGGAGAGACGGGAAGGGCAGGGAAGAGCGAGAGAGGCGCCGUCGUCGGAAACUGUGGAGGAGAGUCAGAGAAGAAAAGAAAAGAAAAAUGCAAAAAAAAAAAAAGUCACAGCCCGACCUUAGGGGGAUCGCAGGCGAGGAAGGUGGGGGCGCCGGCGGCGACGCCGCUCUGUCUUCGCCGCUCUCUGGGAAGAGAGAAAAAAAAGAACGAGAGAAAAAAGAGAAAAGAAAAAGGUAUAAGGGCACCUCCGCUCCGUCUUCGCCGCUCUUUGGGAAGAAAAAGAAAAAAGAACGAGAGAAAAAAAGAGGAGAGAGAAAGAGGAAAGAGAAAAAGGUAUAAGGGUAUUUUGGUCAGUUUGCUGAAAAAGCGGACCGAAUCUGCAAAAGCCAAAAAGAUGGCCCGAUUUUGCAAAAGCCCAAAAUAAGUAGAUUUUUUAUGCAAAUUGGCCUAUUUUCAAUGACAAAAUUUUAAAUUGGUGAUCGACUGUGUUUGAAUUGAUUAAAAAUAUUAAAAAAUAAUUUUUUUGAUUUUUUGAUAUUAUUUACCUGGCAAUUGAAAGGAUUCAAAGUCAAAUACCGAAAAUAAAAAUAUCACAAAAAAUAGGCAGGAACUAAAAUUUUAAAUUAGAGACAAUGAUCUGGCUAUAGAUAAUAUAAAAUUUUUUCUAUUAAAACUUUAACCUAUUUGGAUAUUCUAUACUGUUAAACUUGCAAAUGACACAAAUCGGUCAGUAAAAGUUAUCAGUUUAGAACUAUUUCUAUCAUUGGAUAAAUAAUAUCAACUGUAAAAUUUAUUUUUUAAAUACUUCAAAUACAAUAGAUUAAGUCUAGUAGAGCCGAUCAUCUAUUCGAAAAUCUCAUCAUCAAAAAUGACUUAAGAGCACAAAAGCAUACGUGCUCCUGAGAGCACAUCAGCCCUAUAUAUGGGUAAAAUAAAUUGCUUGCCUUGGAUUUGAAUAUUUGUUGCAUAAAUCGAAAAUUUUAAGAUUUUAUGCUGCAUGGUAGCUGCAUACUUAGAAUAGAGAAUAAACAUGGGAGAGAAAUAUUGAGAAAUCAAAAACUUAUGGCACUUUUAUUAUUGGAAACAUCAAAAGGGAGAUAUAUAGAAGUAAUAUAUAGCAUUGCUCAUAUAUAAAGAGAGAAUUGCUUUUAUACACUUGGAAAUUUUUUGAUUUUCUUAUUUAUUUUUUUUACAAGGUUAAUAUUAAAAAUACUUUUUAAAGUUUCAAAUUUUUUCAAAAUAUGCCCUUAGAAUUAAAUUUUACCAGUGAACGGUUAAAUAUUCGUCAUAUCUAUAAAAUUACUAUUUUACCCAUUCAAAUAUAUCAUUCUACUGUCACCAAAUUUUCUUAUUUGUCCUUAAGUUAGGGAUAAAAAAAAUAAUUUGACUUUUUACCCUUUCAAAUAUAUCCUUCUACUAUGACCAAUUUUUUUUAUUUGUCCUUAGGUUAGAGACAAAAUAGGUAUUUUUACUAUUUUUUAAUUAUGGCAAAAAUUUAACUCAGGUUUAACUUGGACUUAACGGGCGCUAACAGCAAAGAUAUAUUUGAAUAAAGCAUAAAUAUACGAGGGGAAUAUUUGAAAUAAAAAAGUAGAAGAAAAUAAGAUAUUUCAGAAUUUUAAGGGGUAUAUAUGCAAUUAUAUCUAUAUUAAAAUAUUGAAAAAUCUAAAAAUUGUUACAAUUUUAACAUUGGAAAUAUAAGAGUAGAUAGAUUUUCCAAACAAAAUCAUAUGAUGGCAAAAAUACUAAAAAAUAAUUUACAGAAAUUUAAUGAAGGGACUUGCCAAGGGACUAUCAAACACAUUUCAAACCUAUACGGCACAUGAGCACUGCAGAAAACCGAAUUUUUCAUAAAUAAAAAUAAACGUCAACGAUCGUAGAAAACAAAUACGGUAAUAACAAAGCAAUUAUUUGAAUUAGAGAAUAUAAAAUUUACGUGGUUUGACUGACCAUGUGUCGAACUACGUCCUCAAUGUGUUAUGCGAUUAAUUCACGAUACAAAAGUACAAAAAAUAAAUAGGAUUAUAAGAAUCUCUCUUUCAAAAGGUCUCUAUGCUUAACUCUCAACUAGGAUAUCUACAAUUAAGUUCUAAAAUCAAAAAAAGAAUUACCAGUGUUUAUGUCCCUAAAACUCUAAUUCUAAUAGGGAACGAUCUCUGCUGCUCUUUCGAGCUUCCGAUUCACCUCUAGUGGGAUCUCCUCUUAAAAACCCUUUCUAAAGUAUUUCUAAACCAUCCCUCAUCUCAAAAUAUAUGAUUAAAUCAAGUGAGAGUCAGAUCCAACUUAUCCAGUCCACCACAGAGUUAAAUAUCAAUAUUUGAAUUAGAGUAUCGGUAUUGAAACACCCCUAACAUUUAACGUAUCAAUACCCCAAAUUUCAUACAAGUACUCAAUACAAAAUCUAAUUUUUACAGUUUCAAAUUUUAAGAAACUUCUUAGUGCCAGUACUUCAACUUUUAGUUCCCUUAUUUAACAUCAAGAAAUCCCAAUUCAUCGACUUUUCACCAUAAUAUUAAUUCGGAACACAACUUUACAUAAUUCAAUAUUUAUUUUAUAUCUUUUCUUCCAAACCUUCUGGGAGUCGGUUAAGGACGAUAUCUUUCGGGUUUUCAUUGAACUCCAAGAAGAUAAACUCUUCACUGGACCGACCGACUAUUCCUUCGUGUGCCUCAUCCCUAAAAUAGAAAGAGCACGUAAAACCAAAGACUUCCGCCCCAUUAGCCUCAUCAAUGGAAUCCAAAAAAUUAUUUCCAAAGUAUUGGCCAAUAGACUCGCACUUGCCCUGCCAUUUCUCAAGACCGACUAUUGGCCGAUUCGUUCGUCACUGCAAGUGAAUUAAUAAACCGGUGUUCAAAAACUGAGAGAGAAUGUGCAAGCAUCAAGGUAGACUUCGAGAAAGCAUUCGACAAUGUCAGAUGGUCUUUUCUAAAAAGCGUACUGCAUUGGCUAGGUUUUACUGAUAAAUGGUGGGGUUGGAUCGAACAAUGUAUCUGCAACCCUAAAGUGGCCGUUCUAGUGAACGGCACCCCGACUAACUGGAUGAAAGCUAGGAAGGGGCUAAGACAAGGCGACCCUCUCUCUCCCUACCUCUUCUUACUGGUAGCCGACAGUCUAGCCAGGUUAUCAGAGGCUGCGAGAGGAAACAACCUAUUACGCGGUAUCGGACCAUCGGACGAUUGCCAGACGGUGCUUAUUCAAUAUGCCGACAACACAAUCUUUUUCUGCGAGCCAAGAAAACGCUACAUGCAGAACUUGCAGUUCAUUUAGAAACUCUUCACAUGGGCUUCGGGUCUGAAAAUCAACUUGGACAAAUCGGAAUUCUACUAUAUUGGGUCUAACCCAUGCAAAGCUGAGAAACUAGCCAACAUCUUAGGCUGUAAAGUUGGAAAGCUACUUUUUCGCUACCUGGGGUUGCCGCUACACAAUAAGCAACUCCGCAAGGAGGACUGGGCCUUGGUUAUCAAUCGUAUAGAAGCGAGAAUAGAAGGAUGGAAAGCCAAAUUACUCUCCCUUGGGGGACGGCUUACGCUCGUCAACUCGGUUCUCUCUAACCUACCACUAUUCUACUUUUCAAUCUUCAAAGCACCACAGUGGGUAAUAUAUCGAAUUGAAGCCUUAAGACGAGCAUUCUUUUGGAAGGGUGCUCCAAAAUCGCUGGCGGUGCCUGUCUUGUCAACUGGAAAGCCACCUGUAAAAGCAAGAGAGAAGGCGGACUAGGCAUCAAAGACAUGGCAUCCAUGAAUACGGCUCUCUUGACCAAAUGGUGGUGGCGCUUCUUCAACGAACCAAACCUGCACUGGUGCAAACUGAUCAGAUCCCUCUACUACGUCAGAAGAAAGCAACUACAUGAGGGUAGAGCUUUCGCCCCUUACUCGCAGUGGUGGAAAGGAGUGGUACGAUGCCGCGAAAUUUUCAUCUGCGGUGUAACCUACGACCUAGGGGAUGGCCAGAACAUCAGGAUGUGGUGCGAUAUCUGGUUUGGAGAAACCCCCCUCCGGACCCUCUUUCCAGAUAUUUUCAUGGCUAUCACGAACAAGGAGGCCAUAAUAUCUCAGUGCUGGAACGCAAAUGGAUGGAGAUGGCGUUUCAUCUGCCGCGGCUUCCCGAUAGUCAAUUCUGCUGAACGACGCACACGGCUGACGACAUUAAAAAACUUGCUUCUACACCGCUCCCCUUGCAACAGACCAGACUCGUAUAAAUGGAGGUGGACAGCCAAUCAAACUUUCACAGUCAAAUCUCUCUACCAGUUCCUUACUUACGCGGGACAGCGAACCCCGUUGAACCGGCAUACUUGGCGUUUAAGAAUUCCGCUCAAAAUGAAAGUCUUCAUUUGGCUAUUACUUCGGAAGAGACUACUCACUUCUGAUAGACUGCUCCAGCGAGGCAUGCCCGUUGACUAACAAUGCCCUUUCUGCGCUAUAUCAACGGAGAGUUGCAACCACAUUUUCAGUAACUGUGUCUACGUCCGAUACCUAUUUCUUAGUGUGGAUGGACUGGAUAUACCAAGUGACACCCUUGGAGACGUUCGCAGUCUUUGGUCCAAUUUAGCUGCCUCUCCGCUCAAAUCGUCAAGAAUGCAAGGACUAACACUUCUAGCUGCGAUCUGGUGGGUGGUCUGGAGGGAUAGAAACAACUCCGUUUUUCAGACAAUUCCACCUGAUGCGACUCGCUCUCUCGAACGUGUUAAACUCCUUUUGACCAGCUGGACCAUGCUGAACUGAAGCGACACUUGUCUUAUCCCUCUUUCUCUAACCUUCCCCUCACACCUCCUUUUUCUUUUUUUUGGCCUUUUGUCUGUUAUUUUCUGUAUUUUCGAAGGCCUAAGCUGCUUCCAUCUCUGUACGCUUAGUUAAUUUUACUUAAUGAAUGAAGCUGGUAGCUUGCUACCUUAUUUCUCAAAAAAAAAUAAAUUACUAAGUACUAAAUCCACAACCUAAAAAGAUUACACGAUUAUAACCUUUAAUCUAAGGAUUGUAAUCCUUUCUCUUAAUUUUUUUUUAAAAGUUGGUAAUAAAAAAAUAGAUUGAUAGGACUAACUUACUCUUGGGUAAAGGAGUUGUAAAAUUCUAACCUAGAUAUCUUAUAAUAGGGUUGUAAUCAACUGUCUCUAGCAUAGUGACAAAGGACAUAAUAGUUAGCGUUCAAAAUUUCAAAAUUCAAAGUCUAAUUAUUUUGUGUUUUUAAUUAAAUUUAUUUUAAAAAAUAAAUAAUAACAAAAAAUUUGUGGACAUUACUACCCAUCCAAAUUAAAAUAUGCCUCCGCCCCUUCCAAGCAUAGAGCGAAAAAGAAAUAAAAUUCUACUUGGAAGAAAAUGUUUCUUGUACACCUAAUAAGGAAUGUGUAGAUCUUACAUCUGGAUUGAUAAAAAUCGAAUCAGUUUUUAGUAGAAAUAAAAAAAAAAAAAAUUUGACAUGACAAAUAAAGUAUUAAUAGUCUUUGGAAGAAGCAAGUGUAAAAUAUGCACCCUUAUUUUGAAAUGUAUCAGUAAUAUUGCUAAAAAAAAAAAUGUGACAAAUAACAAAUGAUAGUUCUUGAAGGGAAAAAAGGUGUAAAUACCGACCGUCCCUAGUGCAAGUGGCAAAGGGCUUGAUGGUUGGUAUUCGAGGUUCCAAGUUCGAAUUCUAAUUGAUUCACAUUUCCAGCUAAAUUUAUUUCUAAAUAAAAUAAAUAAAACGGGUAGCAUGCUACCUAUCUUUCUCAAAAAAAAAAAAAAGUAAAUUAUACAUCUUACUUUAAAGUGUACUAAUAAUAUUGAUAAAAAAAUAAUAAUGACCUAGUAAACUACACCUUACAAUAAACAGUUGAAUUUCCAACCACCUUGUGUGGUACUUUAAAUUGAUUACAUUAAUCUAUUGAGGUGUUUUGUAUCAUAUAUUUCAAUACAUUAAUAACAUUGCUGGUCCGGACUCCGGACUCCGGGUAGAGACACUCAACACUCAAAAUAUAAUUCUACAAAAUAUAUUUUUUGUUUCAUCAUAAUACGAUGUUCGAAUGUUCGAUGCGUUGGCGUAGAGAUCAGCUUUAUUAUGUAUGUUCUUCGGGAACAGCACACCCACCACAUCCUCCACCAUAUAAGCCAUCGCGGCCUCGCACUUUUCCCCUCAUCUCCCUCCCUCCUCUUUACCACCACUCUCACUCUCUCUUCAAAACAGAGUUGUAUUUAUUAUUAUUAUUAUUAUUAUUAUUAGUACUAUUAAUAUUAUUUUGGUUUUUGCGAAGUUAACAAUUCGGUGAAGAUCCGGUAGUUAAUCCAACGCUCCGUGCGCGCCGCGCUUCUGCAGGCCGACGAACCCCCUUUUCGUCGGCCGCGUGCUCAGAGACGACAAACGUUUCCCUCCGAAAAAAAAAAAUAAAAAAAAAAACAUAAGAAUAUCGACAAUUCAACAGCACUCAAAAUCCUCUAAUCCCUGUUUCUUGUCGUUACCUAACACUUGUUUUAUCCUGCAAGUGUAUAUAUAAAUAUGUAUUCACAUCCAAACUUUUUAUUACUCCUGAUCGGUAAACGUUCUCCACCGAUCGUUCUCUCUAAUAACUAAAGACCCAAAUAAAACCUUCGAUCACUCUGUUAUUAUUAUUAUUAUUAUUAUUAUUAUUAUUUUGAAUUUAAGCCAUGUGCCAUCCGAAGAAGGCCACGUCAUCACCAAACGAGCAACUGCUGACUGCGCCGAUUAUCGGCAAGCUGAAGCCGUCGCCCGCGGCGGCGGCUUUCGCGGAGGCGGGGGCCAUUCUGGGGCAGGCGGUUCCGAUGAUCCUGACGGGGCUGAUUUUGUAUCUGCGGUCGAUGAUCUCCAUGCUCUUCUUGGGCCGGCUGGGCGGGCUGGCCCUCGCGGGCGGGUCCCUGGCCAUCGGCUUCGCGAACAUCACCGGCUACUCCGUGCUCUCCGGGCUGGCCAUGGGCAUGGAGCCCAUCUGCGGGCAGGCCUUCGGCGCCGGCCGCCACUCGAUGCUGGGCCUCGCCAUGCAGCGCACCACUCUUCUCCUGCUCUGCUCCUGCCUCCCCGUCGCGGCGCUCUGGGCGUACAUGCGGCCGCUCCUCCUGCUGUGCGGGCAGGACGAGGCCAUCUCCGCCGCGGCCCAGACCUACAUUCUCUACUCCCUCCCGGACCUCGUCCUGCAGUCCUUCCUCCACCCGCUCCGCAUUUACCUCCGCGCGCAGUCCGUCAACCUGCCGCUCACCUUCUGCGCCGCCGCCGCCAUCGUCCUCCACUUCCCCGUCAACUACCUGCUCGUCUCCGUCCUCCGCCUCGGCAUCAGGGGCGUCGCGCUCGCCUCCGUCUGCGCCAACCUCAACCUCGUCCUGCUGCUCCUCGCCUACGUCCACCUCUCCGGCGUGCACAAGCGCACGGGGGGGUUCGCGCUCUCCGCGGAGAGCUUCAGAGGGUGGGGCCCGCUCCUCGCGCUGUCGCUGCCCAGCGCCGCGAGCGUCUGCCUGGAAUGGUGGUGGUACGAGAUCAUGAUCCUGCUCUGCGGCCUGCUCGCGGACCCGCAGGCCACGGUCGCGUCGAUGGGGAUCCUCAUCCAGACCACGUCGCUCAUCUACAUAUUCCCCUCGUCGCUCAGCUUCGGCGUGUCCACGCGCGUCGCCAACGAGCUCGGCGCCAACCGGCCCCACCGCGCGCGCCGCGCCGCCAACGUCGGGCUCGCGUGCGGCUUCGCGCUGGGCUUCGCGGCGCUGAGCUUCGCCGUGUCGGUGCGGCGCGUGUGGGCGCGCAUGUUCACGGCCGACGCGGCGAUACUGCAGCUCACCGCGUCGGCGCUGCCGAUUCUGGGGUUGUGCGAGCUCGGCAACUGCCCGCAGACCACCGGGUGCGGCGUCCUCCGCGGCAGCGCGCGGCCCAAGGUCGGCGCCAACGUCAACCUGGGGUCGUUCUACGCGGUGGGAAUGCCGGUCGCCGUGGGGCUCGCCUUCUGGGCGGGGCUCGACUUCCGGGGGCUGUGGCUCGGCCUGCUCUCGGCGCAGGCCGCCUGCGUCGUGCUCAUGCUCGCCGUCAUCAAAACCACCGACUGGGACGCGCAGGCCGACCGCGCGCAGGCGCUCACGGGGGCCGCCAGUGACAGCGGCGGCGCCGCAUUUCUGGGAAGCGAUGAGAAAGAGGCCCUGCUGCAGCCGAAGCCUGCCGCAGUCGGAGGCGACGAGAAAACUAGCUUGGUGAUUACCAUACAAACUGACCCAUCAAGUUAAAGCUUUCCCCCAAUUGAUUAACUAAAAUUUGAAUCACUUUUAGAGUUAAACCGGUGCCUUACAUACAAAAUCUUUUCAGAUACUGCUGAUGAGUCAGCACGAGAAAGCAUUACCCUUAUUUUUUUUGUGCAUUCUAAAUUCUCUAAUUUCUUUGGUACUCGUUUUUUACAUUUUUAUUGUUAUUUUUAUUUUUACAAAUUGUUGCACUUCCCUUGUAACAAGUUGUGGGUAAUUACAAUGAAAACGAGAAAGAGUUACCACGAGGUUCGUUUUACACACACACACAAAAAAAAAAAAAAAAAAAGUCUAAAUUGUCAUUUUAGUAAAGUGCUUACAUUGACCAGCUAGUUAGGGGGAAGAGGAGGAGAACGAGGGCAAUUUGUAUUACAUUACGACCGGAUUGGGUGCGUUUUGUGCUCUGUUCGUCUCUUCGGGGCGCUCGCCGUCUACAAAAGCCGGCAGCGUGAAGAAUCCGUCGCCGGCUUUCGAAGUCGUCCCCGGUCUUCCCACAGCGCCCCCCCCGUUUGAGACAAGUCGGCUUCAACGUAGUGGGUGGAGAUCUGCAAACGACCCCCUCCUUCAUUGGCUAUUUCGAAAUGGGUCCCUCAAUUUUACACACUUUUUUAGAUUCUCCCUAAUUUAUUCCUGUGGUAUUUAGAAAAGCACAUGUCAACAUUGAAAUUAAUAAUAUUAGACCGAUUAAUUGUUCCUAAUGCAAGUGCUAAAAAAUUUGAUGGAUGAUGUUUAAAGUUCUUAAAUUUAAAAUUUAGUUACUUCAUAUUUUCACAUAUAUUGAUUUUAAUUAAUAAUAUUAGGAUUUUGGUGGCAUUCGGACUGUAUGAGCUUAAAUUUUUAAAUAAUAAUAUAUUCAACGCUAUAGAAUAGGUUUUGUCAAAAACUAAGUUACGACAUCCGUGGUAUUUAUAUUCUAUCUCAUCCAAACACCUACUGGGAUUUGUAGUUUUAUAUAAUAAACACAAGUAUUGGGACUACACACAUCAAUCUCUAGAGUUGAGGUUUGCAACCUCUCUAGAUUAUAUUUUACAUAAUUCCAAAUUGUUUUUUUCUUUUUUCUUUUUCUUUUUUUUCUUUUUUGCAAUAUAUGGAGGCUGCAACUUGAUGAACUAAAUUCUUUCGAAAAGUGUAUCCAAACUCUCUAUAACUUGAAAAUCAAAAUUGUGUACAAAGAUUUCAUAGAGUUUCCAAACAACCAUUGCCUGUUUUUUUUUUUUUCAAUUCGAACCUCUUUCCCUUCUAAUUUUUUAAAUUUAAUAUAUUUUAACUAACUAAAUAAAAAAAUUAUUUAAUUUAAUAACUCUAUUCACUAUUAGAUGUUAAUUUUUGUAAUUUUAUUCGAUAAGAAAUUAUUAAAAUUGUUAGGCUAAAUUACAGAAAACUUUACUGCCAAUACCUAUUUUUUUACUUUUCUCCCCUAUCAUUUAAAAAUAUAUACUUUACUCUCUUGAAAAAUAAAAAAUGUUCACAGGGGAUACGAUGUUAACUGUCAUGAUAAAAUGAUCAAAUUGUCCCUCACCAUCUUCGUCUUUUUCCCAAUCUAGCUUAGCCAUCGUCUCUCCUCUUCCGUUCUUCACGCCUCACUCAACCUUAGCUCCGACUCCAUUUUCUCACUACAACAAAAAGAAUAUUUAGUGGCGACUUUUUGGUGGCGACAAGCACUGUCGCCACCAAUGUAUUUAAUAUGGUGGCGACAUUUAUUUGUCGCCGCCGAUUCAUAGGAAAUGGCGGCGACAUUUUUUCGUCGCCGCCGAUUCUUGGGAAAUGGCGGCGACAUUUAUUUGUCGCCGCCGAUUCUUAGGAAAUGGUGGCGACAUUUAUUUGUCGCCGCCGUUGCGUAGAAAGUGGUGGCGACAAAGUGUCGCCGCGAUAUAUCACUACAAGAAAAAGUAAAUUUGGCGGCGACUUUUUCGUGGCGACAACAGUUGUCGCCACGAAUGUAGAAAAUAUGGUGGCGACAUAUAAAUGUCGCCGCCAAUACACAAACAAUGGUGACGACAAAUAAAUGUCGCCGCCAAUACACAAACAAUGGUGGCGACAAAUAUACGUCGCCGCCAAUAUUUUAAUAAAUGUAGCGCGGAGCAUUUCCAGACAUCCCGCCCUUAAUUCCCUCCGCCUUUUUGGAUCAGAAAGUUAUCUUCUUUCAUCUCCCUCUCAAUUUCUCUCUUUCGCCUCCUCCUCUCCGCCCACCCUCUCUCUCUCUCUCUCUCUCUCUCCACCUCAUCCGCAUCCGCGCCGCCUCCUCCAGCCUCUCCCUCCACCUCCCUAGCCGCAGCGCCAUCAACUGCUUCAAGAGCGCACGCAUGAACCGCAUCAUGCGUGCGUAGAGACCCCCGUCCGCGGCGUGCUCUAGGGCCGGAACUCGGCCUCGCUCCGUCUCCGCCUCGGGGGUAGAAGCAACCGCUUCGCUCUGGAUGCUCCCGCCUCUUGCGGCAGCAGGAGGCGCCGCGACUACCUAAACCGCCUCAACUGCUGCCUCAGCUCCUACCGCGCCCACCUCCGCUCCUAAUCUCCGGAGGUAGCAGCGAGCUGGUACCGAUCUCUCGCUUUUGCUAACCUUUAAUCCCAAAAUCGUGCUACUUCUCCCUUUCUCUCCUACUACUCUCGCAUGCUUCUGUCUCUCUCUCUCUCUCUCUCUCUGUCUUCGUACGCUCUCAUCAUCCUCUCUUUUCUCCUCUUUCAUCUGCUAAAACUUAAUUCCAAUCGUUUUCGCUCUCAUAAGCCAUGGUCGAGACGGAUGCGGAUGGAGGCCUCUAAUCCUCGCUCCACCGUCGCAGCAUCUCUCGAUUCCGCAGUCUACGUCGCCAAUCCAUCAGCGCGCGGAGGACGACGGCACGUUUCUCACGCCUCGUAGGUUCGCUUCGCAAACGAGAUUGGGGCUCCGCACUCCGCGCUCGCUCCGCGGCUCAAGGCCGGGAUCUACGUGCCGCGCCUGCCCCAGAGACGCAGUGCGUACUACGCCAAGUAGCAGCGAGAACUUCAGUCAACUAACGGCGACGCCGGCGUGAUCCUCACCUCCUCUCCGCCUCCUCGCCGCGCCUACUCCACACUGCACCUGGUUCUCACAAGUCCCCGUCCCCCCCACCCAAAACUACUAACCUACAACGCAGACGCCUAAUUCUUUCCCCUCAACUUUUUUUUUGAUCAUUCUUUUGUUGCGUGCUUUUGUUUUUUAUUAGUACCUUCGCUACGUACGAAUAGCUGUGCGGAAGCAAGAGAUUUAUGGGGCUGAAGCUUCAGCGCAAGUGCGUUAGGUCGGCGGCCUCCAUACACGUCACUACACAGGUACCUGUUUGAUGAAAGUUCCUGGUGUUACAAGUUUUUUUUUCUUGGUUUCUUUAACUAAGAUAAAAUUAGUUGUUUUUUUUUUCAAAAAAAGUAAGUGCGGAAUUGAUGCUGAACAAUUGUGGGCUUUGUUUCGGACGCAACUUUAAUGCAUGUUUUUUGAAGUUUUAUUUUGCUUUGCGUAUCGUUGACAUUUUUAAUGCAGUUAGCAAUUCUCGUACAUUUACCCUGAAACACGCGAUUCAAAUCUCCGACCUCAUAAUUUGGAUGCGCAGGAUGCAUGGUUUGCGCCUUAAAAAUAAUGGUAAUAAAUUGUUGCAUUUGCUAAUCAAACUAUAAAGUCCGUGACAAAUUUUAUUUGUUUUAUUUUAGCUUACAAAUUUUAAAAUAUUACGAUAAAUUCUGUAACAUAUAUUAGUUGACUAAUAUUUAAUAUAUAAAUCAAUGCGCAGAAAUAAUGUAAUAGUUGACUAAUACUAUAUAGUGACGUUACAUUCCUUUACAUUACCUAAGGGGGGAAUCUAUGUCGAUUCGGUCACCGAAGGGGGCGCGCAAAUGAGGUUUAAGAGUUGUCCUUCGUAGGGAGUCUCGCGACGUUCUCAGGAGACACAGUGAAGCUUUUGCAUCUAUUCUUGCACUCAAGGUAUUUUUAGCAUGUAAUGUGAUUGUUAACUUCCAAUAAAUUAUGGUGAUUUCUUUGGAUAUGUACUGCUUUUUUUUUGGUUUAGUGUGAUUAAUCACCUCUUCUAAUAGUUGCUUUACCCUUAUAAAGUUGUUCAGAUAGCAUUUCAUUUUUUCUUUUCCUGUGUACUUGGACAUGGCAACUCUGUCAUAAAGUGACUUUUUUUACUAAUUUAGUUUUUUCUGUUACUGAGCCAUGUUGCAAUGUCAUACAUUGGUUCGAUGAUGUUCAAUUUCAACAUAAAAUUGCAGCUUUUGUGCCUUUCUUUCUUGCUCAUUAAUUGAAGAAGAUCUGCCAUUCAUUGUCUAUUGAUUAAUUAUUUUAACCAAUGUGCAGGUAGCUGAGUGGAGGUUUGCUAAGGUAAUUAACCUAACUACCUAGUAGCUUGAUGCUUUAAUGGUAGAGUUGAGUGUGAUUUCGGGUUCUUUGUACCCAGCUUAUGUCAGGAGAGUUCUAUCAGCUAUAGAAGCAGGAUUUUGAUGUGGUCUUUCAACCAUAAUCUAGGGGAAGAGUGAAAUUGGAACUUGGAAAAGGUAAUUAGUGAAUUGGUUGCCUUAUGUUGAUGUUACAAUAAGCUUAUUAAUGAAGGAAUGAAGCUGUUUUUGGUGUAUGCUGCAGCAGCUUGGAGAUUCACGUUGUGCUGAAUAUCUUGACUUUGUGAAUGGUUUGAAUGAAUUUCAAUCAGCAAGAAGCAGAGUUACAAGUAGGGAAUCUAAAUAAGUGAGAUUUUAACCUCAAUUAUGUGAUUACAUAAGUGUAAUAAUGCAGUUUUGGGUGCUUGUUCACAGCAGGAUGUACACACCUUAUAACUGUGAUUUGGGGCAACUUUUGAAGCUGGUUAAGGUGCUUUAACUCGUGGUGAAGGGGAAUUUAAGUUAAAUCCUAAAUUGGGUAUGAUUCUACCUAGAUUUAACGCUUAUGUGAGAUUCUUUUUGCAAGUUGACAUCAAGCAUCUAACUGCAUUUCCUAGCAUCCAUGGUGUUUUGCAAGUUAACGUCACUAUAAAGCUUAUAUCUUUAGUGCUAUCUAGCAUCCAUAAUUAAUGAUCCUAGUUCUUCAAUUUGAAUGUAUAAUUUAAAUCAGUGUUUUGCCUCUGCUUCAAGAGAAAACAGGUCCUGACAAUCCUAGUGGUGCAUUUCCUUGUUUGUUGUAAAUUUUUAUGUGAAAUGCAAUUAGGUUUGCAGCUAAAAGAUAGGUUUCUAAUGAUGCAGGGGAUUCAGCUAUCAUGGGCAUUGUAGAUAUUGAUAAUGACAAAGCCAAUCCUCAAAUGUGCAGCCUUUAUGCAUCGGAGAUAUAUACAAAUCUGUGUGCUACAGAGGUAUACAUGGUGUAUUUCUCUAGACAUCAUAGUAUCUGGGUACUAACUUCAUUGUCAUUAAUUUUCUAGGACAUUGGAGGAGGGUCUGCAGAAACUUUCAGCGAUAUCUUGGAUAUGCAAGGUAGCGUGGACUUCCCUGAAAUCUCAAAUGGCAUUUGUUAAGUGAUUUCUUUUUCAUUCAGGCAUUCUUUUAAAAAUUUCAAAGGCCUUUGCUUUAUUAUUCUAGAACAAAGUAGAAGAUCAACUGAUGAAGAUUCAGGAGCUUUGGAACAAGAAGUUACAGAGUAUGUCCUUGAUGAAAAUUCAGUUCAUUUAACUUGAUGUGUAUUAAAUGUUUGGAUUGGCUCAACUAAAUAACUAAACUCCCUUUUUAUGCGUCAUUGGCUGCAGGAAGUAGUGCCAUAAAUAUAAUCACUACAACAAAACUGCUUUUUAGUGGCUGAUUAUGUGAAAGUAAGUUAUCAAAAUUUUUUUAUUGAUUUCCAUAAGCUAUUCUAAACAUUUGUACUAUAAAAUAGUAAGCUGUUUUUGUACAUUUCUGAGAUAAGUGGCAGGCUAUUGAGGAGAACAUCUUGAAGAUGAGAUCUUCACGACUGCUUACUAUUAUCGUAGUAACUAAAAGUCUAUAAUUUGUCCUCCAUUAUCCAGUUACUGAUGUUCGCAUGCAGAAUCAUCUCACCUGAGAUAAGUAAUUUGUGCAUUCUAGGUUCACUUGAAAAAUAUUAUCUCUGUAGACUUCCUUUGCUGAAAAAUCUUUAUAUAUAAUAUGCUUAUUCACCAUACGAUAACUUUUAAAAGGAAUAAAAACUGAUUGCUAAGCCAACUACUGGCACUUAUUGAUAUCUGCUAAGCCAACUAUCGGUUGUUAGAAAAACUAUAUGAUUGGUAAGAGGUGGUUGGUAUUAGGUCAGGAUCAAUGUGGCGCCAUGUCUCUUAAUAAGUUCUACCAUGAGCCUAGGAAGUUAUAAAUAUCUGCUAUAUUAUGCAUAAGGUGUAGUUGAAAUAAUAUGUCUUCUUAUACGCAUGCACAGAAAGCUUUGUUAUUUGCUGAUUGAAUGCUCUGGUCUUUUAAAAAAAGCAUACGUCAAAAGCUAAGUAUUGAUAAUUUGAAAAGACUGAGAUUGUGUUUUGUUGCUGUCAGUUACUUAGGGUUCAUCUUCCUGGAGAUUUCAAGCUACCAAGUGGCAAUAUCUUAAGGAUUGAUGAUGCUAGGUAACAUCAUGCUAUUUGAUCUCUAGAAACUUGCUGAACUGGUAAACUAGUUUCUUUGAUAGUGGUCUUGCUUUCACACUCUUUUCUCAGUUACAGGUUAUACUUGGCAAAUAAAAACAGGUUAUACUUGGCACAUAAAGUAUAUAAUCCAAUUAAUAUUUAGACUAAAGAUGGAGCGAAACCAUCUCAGGCACACAUAUUCAUAGAAACUCAUAAGCCGCGUAAAGAUGGAAGGCCAAUUGACAAUGAGUCACUUCGAAAAGUUGUAAGUUUUUUUUUUAAUUAAUUAAAUUUCACCUAAAAAAAGUAACUCCUCUGUGUGAGAAGAUCUACUUCUUGUCUCACCUGCUGGCUCUUGUUUGUGCCCUUUAAAUUUGAGUUGAGAAUGAUAUGGUUAAUUUUGUAUUAUCUAUUCCUAGGUUAUCAGUAGGAUUCUUAUUUGUGAAAAAUAGGCCCUCCCACUUUCUUUCUUCUCUUAUAUUCUUUAUAUUUCUAUGCAAUGCUAUAUGGCCAUUGGCUUAAUCAAUUGGAGUCUCGGAGAAAAAUAAAAACACCUUGCUAAAUUUUGUCGAGCUUUUGCUAUUGCGGUAAGCAGAUUCAACUUCUAAGCUUGAUAAUCAAGUUCUACUUUUUGUCUCACCUGCUUAGUGAAAGAUUAUCAGUCACUUAUUAACUCCAUUGCAGGAGAUCAACCAUGCAAGAGCUGGCGGAUUACGGGUAGAGCUUGUAAGUAAUAGAGGUAAGUAAGGUUCAUUAAAUAUAUGAUGCUCUAAUUGAUUUAUCUUAAAACUAAAUCCUUUAACUGAUAUUAGUAGCUUUAUUUUGAACAUCUUUAUGUUCGUGAAUAAAUAACCAAUGAUCAGUGACAAGCGACUUUGUAUUUUUAUCGUUCUUGUCGUUUUAUUCCAGAUUGGAUGCACUUAUCAACCAACUGCUGAUUAUGUAUAUAUUUGACCUCUUCUAAAAAACUCUCGAUUUAUCUUGUAGGUUUGAAGCUGGAGAUCCGAAUACUCCAUCAAACAUUGAAACUGUGAUUUAUCGUAAAUCAUAGAUGUUUAACGUCAUUAGAAUUUAUUAUUUUUUGGCUGGAAUUCAAACAAGCAUUUUGUAGUUGAAACUCAUGUAUGAAAUUUAUUUUUAAUAUUGAAACUGUGAUGUAUUCAAUCAAGUUUAAGAAUUUAACAUAUUUUGAAAACUUUACAUUUGAUAGCAUGUGGAAAUGACAAAAACACUAUUAUUGUAUUUUGUUUUUUGGUUGUAUUGGGUGUAUUAGGUGACAAUGCAAUGAUACUUUGACAUUUAAAGUUUGAUUCGGUCUUUCUUAUUUGCCUUAUAAGAUUAUUUUUGUUCUUCUUUACAUUUAAAGUUUGAUUCAGUCUUAUUUAUGUGGAUUAAUUUUAUGAUUAAAUACUUAUAGAGAUUCAAUUAGAUUUAAUAUAUAUUGGUUCUAAGGUGUUUGAGCCAUAGUGUUUAGGUUUAAUUUUGUUUUGAGAGGAUUAAAUUUAAAUUAAAGGUUAAAAUUUAAUAACGAGAAAUUUUUAUAAUUAUAGGUUAUUUUUAUGCAAUUUAUAUUAAAUCAAUAAUAUCUAUUACUACCAAUUAUUUUUUUAAAAAAAUUUUCGAUCAGAAAAAUAGUGGCGACAAUAGUCGCCACCUUAUAACUAGCCCGAUUAGCUAAUUAUCUAAUUUUUAGUGGCGACAAAUUGUCGCCACCAAAUAUUUCGCGGCGACAUCAUGUCACCAUUAAUUCUCUAAUUUUUCGCGGCGACAGUUUGUCGCCGCUAAUUAUCUAACUUUUAGCGGCGACACAUUGUCGCCACCAAAUAGUUUUACCGACGGGAUUUUAGGCGGCGGGAUGCGGCGACGAAUUGUCGCCGCCAAAACACUUUUCGUGGCGACAAUUUUGGCUAUGGUGGCGACAUUUGUCGCCACUAAAUCUCGUACCUGUUGUAGUGUCUCUACGUGCUCCCCCACUCCUCUUGUACCCUCGUCGUCCUUCCAUUUCAGCGACGGUAGGGAAAAGAUUGGGGUGGGCAUGGACGCAGAGGUGAGCAAGGGCGAGGGCGAGACGGCGAAGGAACGUGAGAGCAUGUGUGUGGGCGCGGAUGGAGAGAUGGACGAGGACGAGACAGCGGAGAAGGGCGAGAUGGCAGAGUAGGAUGAGGCAACGUAGGCCGCGAGGAAGAAGGCAGGGGAGGAGGCUGAGGGUAUUUUUGGUAUCGUUUGGUUCGGGUAUAAGUAAGAAUUGACUAAUCUAGGGUUAAAUACAAAUUCAGGUAUAAGCAAGAACUAGACCAAUUUUGUGUUUGGAUAAAAAUUGGUUGUUCUCGGGACUAAGAAAAAUAACGUUUGGUUAGAUAAAAUGUAAAAGAAGAAUAAUGGGUAGUUAUAAAUAGAAAAAUAAUAUUAUCCCUCUCGUUAUAUUUGAAUUUGAAUUUUUAAAUUUUUUAUUUUUAUUUUUAAAUUUAAAAUUUUAACUUUUAAAUUUUAAAAUUUGAAAUUAAACUCUAAACUUUUAAAUUUCAAAUUUUUAAAUUUAAAUUUUAACUUUUAAAUUUUAAAUUUUAAAAUUUAAAUCAAAUUUUAAUUUAAAAAAUAUAAAAUAUUAAAUUAAAAUUUAAAAUUAUAAACUUUAAUUUUGAAAUUACAAAUUAUAAAUUUUUAAAAUUUUCUUUAAAAAAAAGGGUGGAAAUAGCUUGUUCCCACCCAACCUUAGGGUGGGAAUAAGCUAUUCGAGGUAGGGUGGGAGGGUGGGAACAAGCUAUUCCCACCCUUAGGUAUAGUGUUUGGGGAACAAGGUGGGAAUAAUCCCUUAUCCCCACCCUUGUUCCCCAACCAAACAGGCUUUUGGAUAUAAAAAAUAUAUAAUAAUAGAAGUUUCAAAAGGGCAAAGUAUAGGUUUUUAAAUAAAAGAAAGAAAUGAAAAAGCGGGUAUUGAUAAAAAAGUUUUCUGUAACUUGACCAAAUUGUUAAUUAAAGUGUUUGUAAUAAUUUUUUUUUUUUUGAGAGAUAGGUAGCACGCUACCCGCUUCGUUUAUUUUAUUUAGAAAUAAACUUAGCUGGAAAUAUGAAUCAACUAGGAUUCGAACUUAGGUCUUGGGUACCAACCACCAAGCCCUUUGCCACUUGCUCUGGAGAUAGUCGGUAAAGUGUUUGUAAUUUUAGUCAACUUUAUUAUAAUUGAUUAAGACUACUCAUCUUCGAGAUUCAAAAAAUUAGAAAACGUGCCAGCCAAUUAAGAAAGAGCACUAGAACAUGGUAAACUUUAAUUCUUCCCAUGUGUUUAGCUUAUUUUUACUUUGUCACGCUAACUAUUUCGUAGUUUAACAUUUUUUUAUUUUUUCAUCGUGUGAUUCAAAAUGUUACACUUAAUUAUUCCAUGAUUGCUAAAAAUUUUUACUUAUCCUAUUUGAUAGAAGAUACUUUCAGUAAAAAUAGAGAUAAAAUUAUAGAUAGUUUAAGUAUAACUUUUCGAACCACAUAAUGACAAAAUAAAAAAUAAGCUAAACCACACAAAGGGCAAAUUGAAGCCACCCUUAAGAAAAUACAAAGUUGGGGGUUGAUUUCAAAACAUUCUAAAGACGAGGGAUCCUUAUACAAUUUUUACCGUCUCGUUUCGGUACUUUUAGUAGCAUUUUUCUCUAAGAUAAGACGAGAAAGUAUAAAUCUCACACGUGUUUUCCAGAUGUACAAGUAGCAUUUUCUCUUCUAUUAACCCAAGCGGCCCGCUGAACGUGGCGGGGCCCAAUAAUUUGAAGCGCAUUCGUAGCCGUUGGAUGUGCCGUUUUGGCUCGUUGGGCUCGUCAACGAGCCCGCCUUAUUUUGGUCGCGUCCCCACGAUUUGAAGAUUCAAACUUGCUUGCUUACCAACUAGCAAACAGUGAAUCAGUGAUCACAUCCCCUCCUCCCAGUUUCAUAGGUGGAGGCAAAGCGCGCCAAGUAAACGAGAGGACACGAUCUCAGCCUAAUUAAGUGUCUGUUUGGUUCCGCUUUUUAUUUAGCAUUGAAAUUUUCUGCUGCUGCAUUGCUUCAGUAAAAGGGAGAAUGCUUUGAAUUCAAAGCUAUUAUGGAACGUUAUUUUGUCUUGUGACGGAGAGGACAGCUAGUGCUGCAAGGAACCCUAUCCCUAAUAGCCUUCACCUAUGAAAAAAUUAGUUCAAAUAGACUAGAAGUUCAUUUUAACACGUGUUAUUAUUUUCCGUAUUAAAAAGGAAAAUUUUUUCUUAUAUGUUCGAUUACUUAAGUAGAAAUCAGAGUUGAUUACAUACUCCUAUAUUGUAGUAUCAAAAUCAAGAGAUAUAUUCUAUGAGAAAAGAGAUUGCAUAGAUAUUUUUGGAAAAAAUUAAUCUUAAACUUAUCAUUUAUCACAUGCGGCGAUUAAAUUGAUCUUAAAGCAAUAGCGACGUAAAAUUAUUGUUUCAUUGUGAGGGCACCACUAAAGUAUGAUGUGCUGUUGUAGGUUAAGCGCGCAAGAUAAAUACUACUUGUACACACACUAAAAUUUAUAUCUAUUUUUGGUUAUACCACUAGUGUAGCACCGCGCACAAAUAUCAACUUUGCGGAGGCAUCUCUAUAAUUUUGUAUAUUUGCAAGGGUAUAAAUGUGAAAAGGUACAAACUCUCAAAAGAAGACAAAAAUGUCGGCAUGUUGGGGACUAAGCACGCAUAGGCCCAGGUGGAUUCACCUGUCAAUUGCCUCAUUAAAUAUCUAAGUCCGUGCUGAAUCUGCUGAUUCCACGGGACCAAAUUGCAAAUUGAUAAGAGUCAGAGCACAAACAUGUGAAACAAAAAAACAAUCCUUGAGCACCCCUGCAUGUCGCCCCAAAAAUAGAGGGUGUACAGCUUACACCAUCUUAUCCAAGGAUUAAUAAUUAGUCCUCAUUUUAUUCUUUUUAAUAAUAUAAAUUUAAAAAAUUCUUUAAAUUUUAAGAUAAGGGAAUACAUAUCAUAUGUCUUUUUUUCAAAGCGUGUUAGUAGUAUACAUCGCAUCUGCAUUCGUUUUUGGGUGGUUGGAGUGCACCCUCCCCUUGGGGAAAGUCACGAGGUGUAAUAAAUUUUGAGAAAAAGGGGUUGUAUGUGGUGACAGCAAUGGGCUCAGUACGGAUCAAAUCAAAUUUUAAAGAAAUCCAUUAAGGGAACAAACGGGUCGUUUCAGUUUUCUUUCUUUCAGCCCCAGAGGUGUGAUCAUGCGUUGUAUUCUCUACAAUAUUGAAUAUUGUAUUUUCCUUUUCACAUAGUAAAAUUUUCUUCCCCUUCGCCGGUGAUUUUUCCGGCAAAAACUUUUUUUCACGUAAAUUUUAAUGUUCUAUCUUUUUUUACUCCUUUGUGUAUUGUUUAUACUUUAUAUUAUGAUCGUCAUUUUCGUUUCUAUUUCUGCACUCAUCGUAACAAAUUCCUAUGUGUCCAAGGGCUUUCUGUUAAAUACAAAAUAGGAUAAAAAUACGUGAAAUUUAUCUGAGUUAUGAAGUUAUUCUAGUCAAACUAUCUAAUCUUUUAAAUUUUUAAUUUUACUAUUUAAUUUUUCAGUUACUUUCAGCCACUUGAUGAUUCCUCUAUUGUGAAACUUAGCCGUUUUGUUUUUUUUUUUAUAAUAAAAAACAAUCAUUUGAAUUAUAUGAAAUAUUCUUAUCACGCUGGAUAUUCUAAACGGCGCGUUCUAAUUUUAAAGUGGAUGAAUCAUCAAAGGCUCAAAUCAAACAUAUCAAAAGGUUGGAUAAUAAAACUAAAAUUUUAAAGAUGAGGAAUUUUUCAAUAAACCAUAAUUAUUGAAAUCUAAUUGUCAAUUACCGAAGAAUAUGAUUAGAUUUUACAUGAAAUAACCUGUUGGGCAUGCUAUCGAAUUGGAUUGGUCAAUAAGACAACAUUGAAAAAAAGUUCGUAGCAUAUGCCAAAUUUUUAGUGCCCUAUAAAUUUUAAAGUCUUUAUUUAAUUUUGUUAUUUACCAAAUUAUUAAUGCCUAAUCUGUUAAAUAUCCAACUCAAAAAAAAUAUAUUGAAUCUAAACUUGAGUCUUGAAUUUGGUAUAGUAAUGCAACAUUUUUAUUUUGAAAUUUAAAUUCAAUUUUAAAAUUGAAAUUUUAAAUCUGAACUAAAAGGUUUUUUUUUUAAUAUGUAUUUUCUAUUAAGAAAACUUGAAUUUGAUUCAGAAUUAAGCUUUGUAUAUUGUUUCCAAAUUAAAUUUCCAGUUUGGAUGUAAAUUGAGUUCCAAUUAUUGCUAUAGGUAUUUAAAAAGUUCAUAAUACCCUUUGUGGGAUAAGAUCAAUUAUAAGGAGUAUGUCUAAUUUACUUUCGAAAGUACGGAGUUCGUCAUAUUUGUAAGUUGUUUUCGAUGAUAGAAUGUUUGAUUCGGCGAUCGGCUCCGUUAGGUAUAAUUUACACUGUUGGAACUAUCUAAAAAUCAAAUUUCAAAAUUUUUCAACAUCAUUUACCAAGUGAUCAAAAAGUCUCCAAAAUAACUAUUUUAACGGUUAAUGUGGCACAUUUUAAAGUUAACGGUGUAGAACAAUCCAAAUUACAUAAAAAUUUAACAAAAAAAUUCUACUUAACAUCAAUAGCAAGAUCAAUGUUUCUGAUUUGAAAUUUGAGUCUUUUAUCACUAUUUUUUAUGAGAUUUUUUAUUUUCAACCGUUCAUUUUGAGGUUACUUAUUUAUUAGACAAAUAAAGUCAAAAAAUUAUAAAAUUUGAUUUAUAGAUAGUUCCAAUAACGUAAAUCAUGUCUAACAGAACCAAUUACCGAAUCAAAUGUUCUAUCAUCGAAAAUAACUUACAAAUACGAAAACCUGCAUACUUUCGACAAUAUUGGAGCCUAGCUCUAAUUAUGAGUAUUAAGGACCAAAACACCCUACAAAUGCCAUAAAACUUUUUAAAUGGGUAAUUAGCGACCGGUACCUAUACCUCAAUUGCAUAAUCAAAUUAUAUCUCAACUAUUUAUUUAGAAAAAUAAGCGGCGAGAAUUACAUAUAACUUAUGAAUUGGGAACCUAAGCGUUUCUGGGCUGUCACGUGGCGGGCAUGGGCGCGACCCGCGUGAGGGGAGCUGGCGGGGCUCACGGAUGUCCCUGCACGCGGUCCACGGGGCAGGCGGCUCAUGGUGGACCGGCUGAGGGAGGGGGGUAGUGGACCCCGCUUGAUGGAGAGGGGGCCACUCCUUUCUCUGUCACUUUUUUGAACUUUUAAAAAAACUUAAUUAUAGUGUUUUUUAUAAAAAUAAAUUAUAUAUAUCUAAAUAAUUAUAAAAUUAAAAUUAAUAUUUAAUACAUACAAUCUAAAAUAUUUAAAAAUUAGGUAUAAAUAAUUAUAUAUUCUAAAGUUUUAUUAUAAUUAAUAUACAAACUUAUGAAUUUACAAUUUGACCCCAACCGGACUGAUUUUAUCCAAUUCAAUCAAUUUUUUUAUUAUAAAAAUUUAAAUUAUAUAAUUAUAUAUUUUAAAGUUUUCGCGCUAUUUUUUCUUUAAGCAGUUUAGACUUGAAUAAAAUGUUAAAUUGAUUCUAUACAGAUGCAGAAUUUUUAUGUCCUUACAAUUUUUUAAAAUUUUAUUAAAUUAUUUAUAAUAAGAUUUUAUUAUAUAAAGUUAAAAAAAUAUCUGGCACAUCUCGCGGGCUUCCUUAACUAGUUUGUAUGAUACUUUAAAGCAUGGCUGUGUAAAGAUUAGAUAUUAGUAUAUAUUAAAAUAGGCAAUAGUUCAAUUAAGUUUUAAUAUUUGUUUUUAUGAAAACUUAAGAAUGUAUAAAAAAUAGAGUGUUGAAUAUAAAAUAGAAUGUCUUUUUUUUAAAAAAAGAAAUAGAUAGUAUAUUAUUCGCUUUAUUUAUUUUUUAAAAAAAUAAAUUUAUGUGUCACCGUUCUUUCUGAAAGGUUGCUUCUGGCGAUAUAUAGUGUAACACCCCAAUAAUCCCACAUCGGAUUAAAAAUUGAUUCUCUAAUUAGAAUAUGUGAGACAUACAUGCUAGUAAUAAUAACUGGGGUUAAGCAUUUUGAGCCGGUGAUUUGGAUUCGACGAGUUAUUGUUGCUGGCGGGUCGGGUCGUUAGAAUUGGUAUUAGAGCCGAAUACCGGCCGAAAGUGUGAGAGCUAAGUGCUAUGCGUACAAAAUGCUACACCAACUGAUUUGGUGCAAGCCACCUCUUGAACCCGUAUACGCACCCCAAUAGUUCCACAUCGGAUGGAAUACUGAUUCCGAUACGUUAGUAAUAAUAACUGGGUUUAAACAUUUUGGACCGGUGAUUUGGACCCAACGAGUUAUUGUUGCUUGCAGAUUGGAAUACUGAUUCCGAUACGUGAAUAAUGAUAACUGGGCUUAAAUAUUUUAAGCCGAUAAUUUGGGCCCAAUGAGCUAUUAUUGCUGGCGGGUUGGGUCGGAUCGUUGCAUAUAGAUCAUAUUUUUCGCACAUCUCUCGGGAAUGUUUUUACAUGUUGCAUCUUCUUUCAAAGUGCUUCUUCCGCGAGUCAACCUUUACUCUGAUUGGUUGGUUGUCACCUUUUUCUGGUCAACUAAUUGACAAUUUAACUCUUUUAUAUUUCUUUUUCUUUUUUCUUUUUUAAAGUUUUUUCUACCAGAAACGACUCGCUGCAUCUUUACGUUCUUAUAUUCUAUUGGCUUUAUUUUGACAUUGAUUCAAAAGAACAAAAAGAAAUCGUUUAGAAUAUAUUUAUAUAAGUUUCUUUAAUUUAAAACCUUUUCUUUUUUUUACUAAUUCUUAUUGUAGGGAGUCAUGAUCUCCUCGUAAUCAGAUCCGAGUCCUAAGUAAGUGGAAAUGAUAUCUUAUUUUAUUAUUUUAAUUAAUGAUAUCUUAUUUUAUUAUUUUAAUUACCUCUAGCUGAAUCAUAGGAUUGGUUUCUUAUACAAUGAUAAAAGAGCUAGACCAAAAUAAUAAUAAUAAUAGUAAAAUGCACCACGAUAUUUUUUAUUGUGGUGCUGAUAUAAGAGCACAAGAAAAGAUAUUGCUGCAAAGUUUAGAAAAUUGUAGAUUUGUCACGCGAAGGUUUUAAUUCUCAAACUUAUUUCGCUAAAUUUCCAAAAUGUUGUGCAAUUUUUCGCUGAUUUAAUUUUCACCGUUACGACCAUUGUGUCCUUAAAAUGAAUGUCCCUUGUAGAUUCUUUUGACAAUUUAGGAUUCAAGUAAAUAUAAUGAGAAAUAUAAUAUAUCAAAAAAAAAAGUUUAAUUUUAAAUAGGCAACCGAGACAAAUACGAAUAAACCUAGACAGCUUGUUUGGUUCAGUUAUAGAGUAACAUAUAUAUUGUUCGUUGAGGUGUUUUUUAAAUAGUGUUAUUUGAAGAAACAUUACAUUAAUAUUUUUUUAGGAGACUAUUAUUGCAGUAAAAUUAAAAAUUCUAAAUUAAAGCUUGUAAUUCCACAUCUCAAAAUUUAAUUUUCUCUUUUGCCGUAGCAAGAAAUCUCAAGUCUUUUUAAUAUAUCAAGAGUUAAAAGUAGGGUUAAACACGGCAUGGACGGCGAUUUCACUUAGUGUCUACCCCAGACAUUUUAAAAUGCUUAAAUUUUUAAAUUAACUGGAGGAAAUUAAAAGAGACUAUACGCUCGCGUAAGGAUUCGAACCUAAAACCUCCUACUUUGAUAUUAUACUGAAGAAAAAGAAAAAAAAAAAAAGUGAAACAAUGAUUUUUUCUCGAAAAUUAGACUUAAGCUGCCAAAGAAAUUUGUUUUAACAUUAUAUAUAUUGAGCUUGAUCUCUCUCAUGACCAAGCUCGAAACAUUUUCAAAAACUCAAGGCGGGACUUAUAUAGGUCCAAAACGUGGAUCUAAUUCGAGACCUGACCGUGUUCUAAUACUAUCUUAAAUAAUGUAAAAUAAUUGUUUAUCUCUGAAAACUUAGCCUUUGGAAGGAUAAUAUUUUUAAUAUCAUAUAUUCCACACACCAAUUAUGCCUCCUCGAUCUCCAGUUGCAGUGCGUAGGAGAGUAUAAGGUUGCUUUGGUUGUACUUGAUGAUCAUGUUCAUCCUCAUUAAUUAAUUUUAUGGCUAAUGUGAUCAAAAGUAGUAAAAUAAUAAUAAUAAUAAUAAAGAAUGCGUAGGUACGAAAAAAAUGCUCUCUCGCAACAAACUAGGGGUCUUUAAUUAAUUGCAAGCGCAUUGAUAUGGUCAAACAAUUUUUGGUAUCACUAACAUUUGAUUGGUUCUCUUCUUUUAACGAGCAAGAUAAAGGUUAACUAAGGCAUUAUUUUAAUCCGGAUUCGGCGAUUAGGGCUUAUAAUUAAAUGAACAGCGAUAACGUUAUAAAUUGUCGAUUCGUCAACGGCGCCGACUUGUUCAGAGACGAAGAGAAAACUACUGCGCAUGUCGGAGUUGAGCCCGAGCAUGCAGGAUCGUGUUGGUCGGCACCGUGCAUGCCUCUUAUCCUUAGCCCAUAAUAUAUUUAUUUAUAUAUAUAUAUAUAUAUAUUACGACAUCAGAAGACUCGUUCUAAACACCGUCAAGGUACGUAAUAGCUUGCUUAGUUUAGGCUGUGGUAAAGAUAAAUAUGGCAUUACAAGCAUGCACUAAUAAAAUGCAACAUAUGGAAAAGCUCUAAGUCCUAGGUCUUACUUUUUUAAAAAACUUUUUCCAUAUUGUACUUGUUCUGAGGUAUAAAUAUAACUCAAAGUAUAAACAUUUUAUAUGAAAUGAGAUGUACGAUUUAUAUGGAGGCGACUAAAUUACGCCUCAUUUGGGGUGGCAGCGUGCAUGUUGCGUGUAGCAUGAAAACACAAUUAAAAAAGUAUUAAUCUAUUUAUUAUAAUAAGUGAUAAUAUGUUAUGCAUGCGCAGUUUGCAAUAGUUCACUUAAAAUAUAAUUUUUAUGAUCCUACAUGAAAUUUUAAAAAAAAUUGUAUAUUUAACGAUUGCAGUUCUAAUUUAUUUUUUCCCAACAUUAAUAUUUGACAGCUGACUCUUCUAAGUUGCAAUUUACCAACACAAUUUUCACUCGCGUGAAACGGUACUUCAAAUUUGCUAAUAUAUCAGCAUAUACAUGUAAAAAAUGCAACUUAUUUAUGUACUCGACUCGAGUGUAUCAGCGUACGCCUGAGGCAAGCUUCAACUGAGCUAAACAUUACUUAAAUUUUGCUGAUAUACCGGCAUACACAAGUAAAAAAUGCGACUUGUUUAUAUGCUCAACUCAAGCGUACCAGCAACACCUUAGACGACCAGUACUUAAAAUUCGUGAUAUACCAGCAUAGACAUUUAAAAAAUGCGACUUAUUUAUGUACUCGACUACAAUGUAUCAGUAACACCUAAGGUAACAUUCGCUCGAGCUAAACAGUAAAGGCAACUUACACGCAUGCUUGACUCAAACGUAUAAGCUACACCUGAGACAAACUUCACACGAGCUAAAUAAUACUUAAAACCAGCUGAUAUGCUAGUAUACGCAUAUAAAAAAUGUGACCUAUUUGGGUUCUCGACUCAAACGUAUCAGCGACACCUGAGGUAAUCUUCACCUGAACUAAACAGUACAUAAAAUCCGUUGAUCAUAUAUCGCAUAUGCAUAUAACUAUGUCACUUAUUUGCGUGCUCGACUCAAACAUAUCAACGGCACCUGACGAAAACCAAAGGGACCUGCGCCCAUCAUAUGGCAUAUAGCAAUGCUUCAAAACGCAUACAACUGGAAAAAUAAAAAUAAAAAAAAUCAAGAAUCAAUCCUUGUGAAAGAAAUAAAAAUAAAAACAAGAAUAAUUUCGUUAACUUGUGGAGUUCUCCUCAACAUGUCGGGGUGAAGUGUGGGAUGGAGUUUGACUUUUUUGAUUAUUUCUGGGACUUUUUAGGAGUUGACCUCUUUUUUAAUAUUUAUAUAAACAUAUGUACUAAGUAUGUACAUCUGAUUCCGUAUUCAUGCAUGGUUUUGUAUAUCUCUUUUGAUACGUCAUAAGUAAAAUGUCAACUCGAGGCGUGCGCACAAUCCAAUAUAGCUGUGGCAUUGAAUUUUCCUUUUUUUUGUUUUUUUUGUUUUUUUUGAAGUAAGUGGUGAGGUGGAGAUUAGGGUGUACGGUAGCUUUUUUGCGUAUACAAUUCCUUAAAAUUAAAUAGAGAGUUUAAACUUUACUCUUGCUAUUUUUUUUACUUUUUAUUUAUGAUAAAGAAUACUUAAGUAAGGAUCCAUAUAUAAGUCUCAUUUUUAUGAAAUUAUAUUUACCGGUUUACGUUAUAUAUAACUUGGAGUUUAGUGUAUGCAGUUAAUUUCGAAACAUGGUUAUGGUAGAUUUUUAGAAUGUUCUCCCUAAUUAAAGUGUUUAAACUUCGUUUUCUUACUCCAUUUACAUAUGUUAUGACAUAAAAAAAGAAAUACAUUAAUUGUUUGCUUUCAAAAAAAGGAAGAUGAAACAUUAUAUUAUAUGGCGUUUUUUGGUGCAUGCAUGCGGUACAUAUCAAUUUGGUGAACACCAUUCAAGCAGUACAAUCAAUGGUAAAGUGAUUUUAAACUUUGUUCUCUGGCUCCAUCAUGUUUCUGAUCUAUGAGAAAUGUAUUUACAUGAUUAUACAUAUAUAUAAUUCUCAUUUUUACUAAAAAGAAUAAACAAUAUAUAUACUUGAUUCGAAAAAACAAAAAUAGUGCUCAUCAUUUGGUGAACUAUUUUAUCAAUCAAGCAGUGCAAUUGAUGAUAAAGUGAUUUUAAAUUUCGUUCUCUGGCUUCUUCAAUGUUUCUGGCAAACAUUGAAAUGCUUUUGCAUGAGGAUAUAAAAACCUCAAUUUUAUUAAAAAAAAAAAAUUAUUGGAAAAUAAAAAGAAAUAUAAUGCUUGUUUUCAGAACAAGAGUGAAAAAAAUAAUAACAUUGUUUUUUUUUAUUUUGCGGCGUAUAUAAUUUGCAUUUGGUGAAAUAGUACAUUAAUUCGAGGAAAGCAAUUCAUGGUAAAGCAAUUUCAGGAGAAUUUCAUGCUAUGCCUACAUGCAAAGCAUAUCUCCUUGACUUGCAUUGAUGAGCUGUAAAUGAACUCGAUCUAGAUGAUUAGUUUUUUUUAUAGAUAUAUAUAUGCCACAAAUUUCAUUCUCAAAUAGGCUGUUAAUUUCACUUGACUUUUAAAUGUUCACAGAUGUACAUGUACAAUUUUCAUUUGUGAUAGAUUUUUAAUAUACGUGCAUAUCGUGCACAUCUGAAAAGGAAUUAUAUUGCAUAAUUUCGAUUCAAAGAGUUGAAUAUUGAUCACGGAAUUCAUUUUCAUGUAUGCAUGCAAGACACGCCUGAAAUAAAAAUAAUUAAUUUUGAUGUAGUUUCAACGGAGUUGAAUUUCAAUGUUCAUGGUUUUUGUUUUGAUAGAUGCAUGAAACUACGCUUCAAAAUGCAAUUAAUGAUGUUACUAUGAUAGAGGUAUUAAUCAUGCAUGGUAUGUACAGAUUUUAUAAAAAAUUGUAUUACUAAUACAAUUUUUAUAUGACAAUAUGAACUUAAUCUUUAGAAUUAAUAGCUUAAUUCCAUUUGUUUUGUUUUGAUCAUGAAGCUGAUUUACGUACGGUGCAUGUAUACAGUGGCAUUUUCCGGGCCGGGCCUUCGAGAGCCUAGUCCAAGCCCGCCCAUUAAGUUCCGGCAAUCCACCCCAUGAUCAGGUUGAUUAAGACUAAUAACAUGUUAACUCAUCAUUUCAUGUGGUAUUUGAAAAGCACGAUAAGGGCUUGUUUGGUUCAAGGGUGGAAUUGGAAUGGAUAAUGGAAUGGGAAUGAAUUGGAAUGGUAAUUGGAAUGACCCACUCCCUCAAAACGUUUGGUUUAUUUGUGGAUUGGAAAUUGGAAUCAGUUAUUCACAUUUCAUUGUUUGGUUCGUAUAAAUUAAAAAAAUUAUAUGAUACUAUAAUACUAAUUUUACUCUCAAAUAUAAAUUUAUAUUAUUUAAAAUUUAUGAAAAAUAUAAUACUAUUCUCUAAUAAGUUUUUCAAAAAAAAUAUCAAAUUUAUUUUUAAAAACUUUUAUUGAUGUGGGUUAGGGAUANAUUUAAAAUUUAUGAAAAAUAUAAUACUAUUCUCUAAUAAGUUUUUCAAAAAAAAUAUCAAAUUUAUUUUUAAAAACUUUUAUUGAUGUGGGUUAGGGAUAGGGUUUUGAGAGAGGAUAGAGUUUUUUUUUUUUUGAUGAGAAAGGGGUGGAGAGAAGGAGGGUGAGAUGGUCACAUGGACUUCGAGAACUUAGUGGGCUUCCGGAAUGAAAUCUCAAUCCGAGCUAGAAGACCGGAAUCAAGUUGAAGGCUAAUGGGUCAUUCCCAUUCCAGUCCGGAAUAGAAAUCUCAAACCGAUUUAUGCGAUCCAAACAAACUUAACCGGAUUUGAUCAAACCGAUUUCCAUUCCAUAUCCAAAAUGGAUGAACCAAACAAGCCCUAAGAGUAUAGUUGCUAACGAGCCAAAUAUAAGCGUACUAGGACCGGCUCGUAUUUGCUUGCUUAUUAAACGAGCCGAAUACGAGCUGAUUCGUUAGAAUAUCAAGCUGAAAAAUUCAAUUCAUAUUCAACUUGUUUAUUAACGAGCCAAACACAAGCGAGCUCGCGAAUAAUAAGUUAGAUUGUCAGCUCUAUUAUUGAGUGAAAAGUUGCAAGAAAAUUAGAAUCUUAACCUAAAGACUAAAAUUUACAAAAUACAAGUUUCUUUACAUUUGGGUUGGCCUAAAAUUCAAAUAGUAGAAAUUUGUAUUAUAUACAUUUGAGAUAUAUCGAGUCAAACACGAGCAAGUUGACACCAGCUCGUAUUCGAAACGUUAAAUAUGCUGACUUCAGGCAUCUGACCAAACACGCUGCCGCUAGACUCUCUUGGGUUGAUUUCCAUCAUGAUUAACAAAUGACAUGGGCUUUAUCCGGCCCAAAUUCAUAUUCCCUGGGUUGGCAACGUUGGUCCAAUAUUUGGGACAAAUAUAUAUAUGUUUUUUUUUUUUUCUUAGAGAUAGGUAGCAUGUUAUCCGUUUCGUUUAUUUUAUUUAAAAAUAAACUUAGCUAAAAAUGUAAAUCAACUAGUAUUCGAAUUUGAAACCUCGGGUACCAACCACCAAACCCUUUACCACUUGCGUUAGGUAUGAUCGGUCACAAAUAUAUAUGUUAUAGACCCAACUUUAUUAAGAUAAUGGGCGAAAAGAGUUGCAUGGAAAGUAUUAUGUUCAGAUAUCAGAAUCCAAUUAUUACAACACCUUUAUAAAAAUAAGGGAAAACUUCAAAAACCCUCCAUGUAGUUUCGUAGUUUCUCACUUUGCUCCCUUGUGGUUUAAAAUGUAUCAAAUUGCCCUCCUGUGGUUUCGUUUUUAUCUUUUUGGUAGCUUUUUCGUUAAUAUUUCAUUAAAUUAUAUACAAAAAACUUCAGAUGCCAAUCUAGAUUUAUCAAAUAUUCACUUUAGUAUCCUUUAAAUUAAUUUUAUCACUGAUUUAAAAAAAAAAAAAUAAUGAAAUUGAUAAGAAAAAGAGAAAAAAGAAACCACAGGGGAGCAAAUUGAUACAUUUUAAGUCACUGGGGGGCAAAGUGAGAAACUACGAAACCAUAUGGAGGGUUUUUAAAGUUUUUCCUAACAAUAAUUUUUUUAAAAAAAUUUUACACUUUCUCAAAACACAAUUCUUUCUAUAAUUCCAAAUAAAGAUUUACCCAUUAUUGGGUUUUCUUUUUUUGACCUUUUGGUUUGACACCCAUGGACCAUCCUAACCGUAGGUCAACAACCUAAUAUCCUAUCAAGCAGAAAAUAAAAUUAUGGAGAUGUUUGGCCUAGAUUCUCAAAAAUAAUUUUAAAGUCAAAAGUUAUUUUUCUUUUAAUAGAGAGUUUGGUAAUCUGUUUUUUAAAUUUUGAUUCUAAUUUUUAAAAUCAGUUUUCUAAUUUUAGAGUCUCAAAAUUAGAAGCAGCUAAUACCUACUUUUUGAAAUCUGAUCCUGAUUUUAGACUCAAAGUUUAAAUUUAAUUCUAAAUUUCAUAUUCAAAUUUUAAAUUUAGAUUUAAAUUUUUAAUUUUUAAAUUUUUAAAUUUUGAAUUUUAAAUGCAAAAUUUAAAUUUAAUAAAAAAAUUAAAAUUCUGAUUCAAUUUUUGAAUUCAGAAUUUUAACUUUUUAAAGUCAAAUUCAAAAUUUAAAUUAAAAUUUUAAAAUUAAAUUUAAUUAAAAAAUUAUUAUUUGUAAAUAGCAAAAAAAUUUUGCCAAACAAUUUUAUAAAGUCACUCUAGAAAAAUCGUUUUUUUGAUAGACUCGUCCAAAUGCUCGACAGCUUUUAAUCAAAAUUAAUAUUUCAAAUCAAAAUUAAUUAUGUAAAAAUUAGUUUUUCAGAAUUAGGCCAAAUAACUCAUGAAACACAGAACUUAUUGUUCCGAAAAAUAGAUACUUGCAAACUGUUCUAAAUAAUGAUGGUCACAAGCUGAGGGCGGCAAUCCAGCUCGCUGUUCGUGAGCCAGCUCGUAUUUGAUUUGAAAUCAGCUCGAGAUCUAAUCGUUCGUUUAAUAAGCGAGCCGAACACGAGCUGUAGUCAGCUGGCUCAUGUUCAGCUCAAUAACAGCUUGAAUACAUAUAUUUUAUAUUAUCUAAUUUUAUAUAUUUUAUAUUUAUAUAUAAAGUUAAAUUAUAUAAAACAUCUAUGUCAAAACCCGAUUUUAAACACUUUGCCACAAUAUAAAAUAAAAAAUAGUCACAUGAAGGUACGGUGUAAACUGAAAUGACAAAAUGAUCAUUUUGCCUCUCACCAUUUUUGGCAACGGGAGAAAAGCCCGAGGGUAUUUUUGGCAUUAAAAAAUAUAUAAUAAUAUUUUAUAAACGGAAUCCUAACGGAUUACUAAUGGCUGGGAGUGAAGUGAAUAUUUUUUAUUUUACAAGGGGACAAAAUGAUAGGGGGCGAAAGUGAAAAAUCGGGUUUUGACAGGAAAUUGUUUUGUAAUUAGCCGUUAAUUUUUAGUCCAAUCUAAAUAUAAAGCCCAACUCAAUUAUAAAAAAGCUCAUUGAUUUGGAAAGUUUCAACUAGUAGAUUAAAAUCUAAUGAGUAAGAUCUCAUAAAUUUAUUUUUUAUAUAUAUUCUUUUUGUUUAACUUAUUGUUCGUGAGCUAGUUCAUGUUCAGCUUGUUAAUAAACAAGCUGACCACGAGUCAAACUUUUUGCCUCGAUACUUUAGGGCUUGUUUGUUUCAACGUAAAUAGACUUGGAGUGGAAGUGGACUUUGAGUUGAAAUGGAGUUGGGAUGAAAAUUAGUUCACUUCUGCUGUUUGUUUCUAACUGUAGAAGUACAGUUCUGCGAGUUCUGUUGUUUGUUUGGUAGGAAGUAGAUGACGUAAAAAGUAUAGCUCUCCACUCCCGGUAUACUUACAUCCAAAGUGAUAUCAUUAUCUAUUUUGUAACUUAUAGUGAAUAAUAAAUUAUAAUAAAUAAAAAUUAAUAUAAUUAUUUAUGUAUAUAAUUAUAUAUAUAUAAUUAUAAAAAAAAAUUUAAAAAAAUUAUAUUAUUUGUUUGCAUAUAAAUUAUGAUAAUGCAACAAAUAAAAUUCUAAAGUUAAAAAAUUAUUAACAUUUAACAAAUUUAUUUUUCAUCAUUUUCUAAAUAUACAAAUUAAAUAAAAAAUAUAUUAAAGCUUACCUAAUCAAAUUUGAUCAUAUUUUAGAAGAGGUAAUUCUAACACAUUAAUCCAUUCUUAUUUUUUUUUCACUUCACCGGAAUUGAUUUCGCCCAUGGGAGGGCGAAGUCAAAUUCAUUAUUUUACGUGAACUGAACUUUCGGGCGUAAUAAAAUUACGGUAAAUCAAACAGCGGAAGUGGUUAGUUUUCACCGAAAUUCAUUUUCCCCGUCCCACUUCCACCCCACUUCUCUCGAAACAAACAGGCCCCUUAAUGAACUAACUUGUGUUCGGCUCGUAAACGAAACGAGUCCAACACAAGUCGGCCCAGCUCUCUCGUAUCCGGCUCGUUAACAACCCUAUCACAAGCUGAAAUGGAUUACUUGGGUGAUAUCAAACUACAAAUAGGUUGGAAAGUGGAAGUCACGAAUUUCCAAACCAGACCAGAAUAUGAGUGGACGCAAGCUCAGCCCAAUUGCUAACCUCUAAAAGUGGUUGAAAUUUGAACCUAAUUUCAUUGCUCAUUUGUUUAAUAUUGACUAAUCUUAGGAUUUGUUCUAGCUUGAGUAAAACGGCCAUAGCGUCCAAGGAAAAAUAAAAAAAUGUUAACUUGUUAAGGCUCAUUUGGUAUUAAAGCCUAUUUAAUACUAAUAAAAAAAUUUGAUUGCUUAUUUAUUUUUAAAUAAAAUUAAAAAAUAUAUCGUAACUAUAUUUUUUUAUUAAAUACCAAAACAAAUAGAAUAUUUUUUCAAAUAUUAGCCAAGUCCUUCAAUUAUUGCUUGGACAUUUACAAUAUUUAAUCACUCGUGUUCAAAUCAACUGAUUAUUAGUUACCAAUAGGUGUGAUAGAGAUAUUUAAUUAAUCCUAUAUUUGAUAGAUUCGUUUGGAAAGAAAUAAAUUAUUUUGCAUAUAUAAUAUAUUAUUACAUGUUUUUUUUUUAAAAAAAUUCUAUAGAAAAGUGUAAUCAAACGACUAGAUGCCAUAAUGAUAAUAAAAAGAAUUGGCCAUGUCUUGUCCUUUAUAUAUGCAAAAUAAUUUAAUAUGAUCAAAAUAUUUGAAACUUUUAAAAAGCAUAUUUUGUAGUAUUUCAAAAUUAUAAUAUAAUCUAUCGAAUCAGUAUAAAAUAAACCGUCUAAAUCAAACGGCAUUUCUAAAAUAGGGUGUCUAAUUUUUAAAUUUAAAAUCAGAGUUAUUGAUUUUAUCUAAAUAGUGAAUAUAAUUUUUUAUUAAAAAUUCAAUCAAUUUAAAUUUUCUUACACCAUUAAACUAGUAAGUAUCCACAGUAAAAGUUAAAAAUUGUCAACUUUAAAAUCUUUUAGAUCAUAAGGUAAAUAAUAUCAAAAAAUAUAAAAUUUUAUUUUAAAAAAAAUUUAAAUACUCUAAAUUAUAUUUAACGAUAUAAAUUAUCAAUUUGAAAGAUUUACAUAAAAAAUAUUAUGAGUACGAAGGGAUCGUACUUAUAAGAGUAUAGUAGUUGGACUCUCUCCUCUCGAUCUCUCUCUAUAUAUAUAAUAUAUAUAGAAUCAUACUACUAUACGAAGCGAUAGCCGUACCUGCAAACAAAUAGGAGCUAUAAAAGGAAAUACAACAAUAUAGUAGCUGAACAUAUAUAUAUAUAUAUAUAUAUAUAUAUAUAUAUAUAUAUAGAACUAUAUUAUAUAUUAAAAAAAUUAUUUUUUCACUCGCAAUCGCACAUCUACACCAUGUGCAGGACGUUUACUGCAGGGCUCCAAAUUGGCAGGAUCUUAUUUGUAUACAAAAAUUAAUAGGACAGUGAUGUAUGUAAGUAUGAAUCAUAAUAGGUUAAUUAGAUUAAUUAGGUUAUUAGAUUAGUUAAUUAGUAUAUUAAUGAUAAUAUAUUUUAUAUAGGGCCUAACAGUAGAUAGCAAUACAGUGUGAAUCAUAAUAGGCGGCGAGUAGUGGAAGAAAGGAUAAUAUUAUUUAUUUUUUAUUUGUAACUAUUCAUUAUUUUUUUAAUUUUAUUCUAUUUAUCUAAACGUUAUUUUUUUUAUUUUCGAUAAUAAUUUAAUUUUUUUCUUAAAUACUAAAUUGAUCGAUUCCAAAUUUAACCAUGAACUUAUAACUACCGAAAGUUUUGAAAAGUUGAUAGACAAUUCUCUUAAAAAAAUAAUAAAAUUAAUAUCUUACCGCUGAUUAAGAGAGAUCUUUCUCUCUCUGUCGCCCCCAAAUUCCCAGAUCCGGAAUCACACACUCUCAUUUGCAGAUCCAAGCCCUAGGCCCCUGCUCCAAUGGCGGAGUCGCCCUCGCCCCUCCCGAUUCCCAACGAGCACCACCACGGCACGGCGCUGCUCCGGGAGAUCGCGGUGGACUACUGCCCCGAGGCGUGCGACCACUCCCCGGCGGCGUCGGAGAUCCGCGUCGUCUUCGACCACCGCGGCGGCGCUCGGUGGCGCUCCCGCUCCCGCUUCCGCUUCGGCACGUUCGGCGCCCUCAUCCGCGGCCCCGGCGGCGACACGAGCGGCCUCAACUUCAACCUCUACCUCUCCUCCCUGGAGGGCGACAAGUCCCAGGACGAGAUCGACUUCGAGUUCCUCGGCAACGACCCCUCCGCCGUCCAGACCAACUUCUACACCGCCGGCCUCGGCCGCCGCGAGCGCAUCCACCCGCUCGGCUUCCACGCCGCCGACGGCUUCCACGAGUACCUCAUCAAGUGGGCGCCCCAUCUCAUCGAGUGGCUCGUCGACGGCGCCGUCCUCAGGAGGGAGGAGCGCAGCGCCGCGCACCAGCCCUGGCCCCUCAAGCCCAUGUUCCUCUACGCCUCCGUCUGGGACGCCAGCUACAUCGACGACGGCCGCUGGACCGGCAGCUACGUCGGCUCCGACGCGCCCUACGUCUGCCUCUACCGCGACGUCAGGGUUCCGAUCGACAACGCCGUGGCCGAGGAAGGCGAUGCCGCCGCCGAAGCAGCAGCAGCAGCAGCAGCAGAGGCCGAGAAACAAAAUGUAAGUUGAGAUCUCUCUACCUUCUCUUAUGUCUGAGUCGUAUUCCGGAGGAUUAAAUGCUUCUCUUUGUACAUCAACUUAUUUAAGGGACGAUUAUAGUAUCUUACCUACAUCAUCCCGUUCCUUUUUGUGAUGUUCGAAGAUAUAAUUCAUCAAAAAGUUGAUGUACAAGUAUUUAGAUGCUAUUUGUGUUUUUGAGUUGUUGUUGUUGUUGUUGUUGUUCUUGUUCUUGUUGUAUUGAAUUCUGGUUAGUGACAAUAAUGUGAUUGUUCUGUUGUUGGUUAUCUCACAAUUGCAAUAAGCAAAUUAUGGGCCAUGUUGUGUUCAAAUCUUAAUUCAUUACAACCUCUGGCUUGAUCUUUCUAAAUUUUUGACUAAAUAGUACCGUAGCCCGGAUAUGGGGCAAAAAUGUUGUGGUUGAUGCUGCGAAAAUGACUGAAGUGUUGUGGUGCCAUUGUCGGAUAGGAAUUUGAAUUAAAAAUUAUAAUAAAUUAAAGUUUGAGAAUCAAAGUGACGCCUGCUUUAUAAUGCGAGAAUCAAAAAUAUGAUUUAUCUGUAGAUGUCAGACAACUUUAAAUACCCGUUUUGUGGUUUACUGUAUUUUUAACUUAAUACUUUGUGGUUUUAACUAUAUUGUCUAAGUAACUUAUAGUUUUAUUUUUCGUUGUUUUCUCACGCCUUCGGUGAACUUCUUCGUUAAAACUGUCGCGUGCCAUGCCCGUGCCGCACUCUGCACAUGUAUGUCGUGAAUCGUCGGUUUUUUGCCUUUGUAAGACAUCUCCGACUUUGUGGGGCGGCACGUGACGAUUUUAACGAAAAAGUUAACGGAAGGCGUAACAGAAAAUAAAUAUAGAAAUCACAUGUACUUAAAUAAUGUAGUUAAAACUACAUAAUACAAAACUAAAAAGGUGGUAAAUCACAGGAGAUAUAUGAAGUUUUCCUUAGAUUUAUUAUUAGAUCUGUACACUUUCUCGCUCUUUAACACUCUACAUUAAAUUUCUCGAUUAGCACAACUAGACACUCUUCAUUAAAUUUCUCGAUUCGCACAAGUAGAAUUUCUUUUGUCACCCUUCGGGCCACAGCAAAAGUCCAUCUCGGCUAAAGUGCAUAGACCCGUUGCGUGUACAAGAUCACCCUCCCACACAUGAAACUUCAAUAUUCAACCAAGUUUAUUGCUAUUAUAUAAUGCAAUAUAAUAGAUGAAAUACAAAUUGAUUAGUACCAAGAACAUAAAUAAUACCAACUAACCAAAUUUAAAGUAUUGAAUAUUUAACAUCUAUGCAUCAUUGCCAAAAAUAGAUACAUCUCUAUUUCAUCCUCUCACAAGUUCGGUUCCCAAAAAGCUAACCCCAAGACCAAGGUUGGCCAGCAAGUUAGGUGCAUCCCGUUUCGCCCAACGAACUCUCCUCAAUAGUGCUCCGCCCUCACCGCUAGCCACAAGGAUAUCACAAAUUCUCCCCGAACUUAGUCCAAUACGAGUAUAGCCGAGCGUCUCAUCUCCCCCGCGUUUCGCUCCCACGACUCAACCCGCACGCCGCAAGAGUCAAGGUCCAGACUUCGCAAUAUCGCAUGCCACGAAGAAUACUCAUAAACAUAAAUCCUUAUUUGCCAUCUCGUCUCAUACACCUUGCAGCGUCCACGGUCAUACUGCAUACGCGGUCUGCUUGCUCGCUCCAACGGCAUACAUAUGACAAGCCACCCAAGUGCGUGCUGUAAGCCAGCAUGACUCCCAGGUUCAGCGACUUAACGGGACACCCCACAUGCCUAUGCUUUCAGCGACUUAACGGGACACCCCGCAUGCCUAUGCUUCGCACUUUUUGCUUCGCAUCCAACUCGUAUGAACCGCGUGCCCCAUCGCUCCUAGCGAAAAAAGCCAACAAGCCCACACUGUGCUCUCGACCGCCCACAUGAUCCUCACUUUAUGGUGGUGCUCCGCGCCCUUGAUUUCCAUAGGUUCACAUUAUAAGGCUCCAUGCCAACAAGUCAAGCCUUGCUCCGCAUCGCUAGUCACCUGGCCUCUCCAUGGCUCAGCCAUGCCUGGUCGCUACCACCAUUGGUCUAGACUUCAAAGGUUUACUUUACGGAUGCAGAUACUGCUUGCUUGAUUAGGUUCCGCCUCUCGAGUCUUGUGAGCGCUACGCCCACAAAUCUGUCUUAAUAUAUCUCUAGAUUUGAUAUUAGAUAUUUUCUCUUUCUUGCUCUUUUCCACUUUUCAUUAAAUUUCUGGGUUAGCACAAGCAGAACUUAUCACUCAGGCCAUGUUUGGAUGCUUAGAUAAAAACUUUAUGGAAUUUUUAUUCUAUAGUUUUGGUCUACAUAAAAUACGAAAUUUUGUAACUCCAAAAUUACAGAAUUAGGGUUUAAUCUAUGUUAGAUGUUACUAAAAUUUGAUAAUCGACUUCAGUUCGGAACUUUGACUCGCUGACAGUUUCGCGGUGCGACCAAUUUGAAAAAUAAGUUGUGAAAAAAAAAUAAAUGUCUGUGGUGGAUAGCGGAGGGCUUGGGCUGGUACAGAUCGGAUCAGAUCCGAAACCCAUUAAAAAUUUUUCUUUCUCGUUUUUUAUCACAAAGGCGACAGAUCGUGGUUGGUUGUACUCGAACAUUAUAUUCCCUUUUCGAUAGUGAAGUUUUCUCCUCCCUCGUCCGUGAUUUUUUCCUGCAAAGAAUUUUUCACGUAAAUCUGUGUGUUUUUCUAUUUCUGUUUCUGAUUUGUUUAUUUUGUAUUCGUCAUUUUCGUUUCUGUUUGUGCGUUUGUCGUAACAAUCUAUGUAUUUUAAACUUACAAAAAAGGCAUUCAAAUAUUAUAUUGCAAAAUUUUACUUUAAAAUGCUAAAAGACUCAAAAAAAAAAAAUUCAAUACUCUUAAGAAAGUCCUGUGACUCUUUCCUGUUGGAACUACGGUCCUUUUAUUAAGGAGUUGAUUUGGAAGUGAUUUUAGAGGCUGUUUGGUUAUAUGUAGUUACAACUAUAUUAUAGUUGUAACUGUAUAUAGAUCUAAAUUUGAUAUUUGAUUUUAGAAUUAAUUUCAUACAUGUUCCUAUAAAUAUAGUGAAUUAUAAAUAUAUUCCUACAAAAUUCAACUUUUAUAUGUUGUCCACUUGUCCCUACAAAACUCCUAAUAUUUUCAAAUAUGACCCUUUGGUUUGUUACCGUUAAAGCAUUGGUUAUUUUAUAAGUGAAAUAAUUUUUUUUGCCAUCACAAGUAUGUCCCUCCAAAAAUUCCAACCCUUAAUUAAAAAAGGAUAAAAAUGUCAAUUUACCUCAUUAACUAACUAAGGUCAAGUAUUUUACCUAUGGUUAAUUAUUUUUUUCUAACGGAGAGGCAUAUUUGAAAACAUUAGGACUUUCACAAAACAACAUAUGAAAAUUAAACUUAAUAUAAAUAUAUUUGUAAUUCACUAUAUUUACAAAGAUCUGUAUGCAAUUAAUCCUUAAUUUUAUAUAUUUGAAAUCUAACCAAUCAAAUUUCAAGAAGCCUCAUAAAGUGCUUUCUUAGGAGUUUUUUUUUUUUUUUUUUUUUUGAGAGAGAUAGGUAGCACGCUACUCGCUUCGUUUAUUUCAUUUAGAAAUACACUUAGCUUGAAAUGUGCUUCUUAGGAGUUAAACUUCUAUUUAUCCAUAUUUCUUGGUUGCGCGAGCCGAAUCGGGAGCAAGAGUUGAAGCUGGCGCGGGAACAGUAGGAGCUCCAACUCGCCGAAUAAGCUACCACAAUACCUAUCCUGCUCUUUGGAAAAAUCGAACACAUGAUGUUCCCUUCGAUCUAUUUCUUGAUUUCCCCAUGAAUUGUAUGCUUAUGACAAUAGCAACAUUUUAAAGGUUGGUAUUUUAUGUCCAAUAUCUCGAUCUAAGUAUGGAUGUCGGUAUGGUUGGAAUUGUAUGAGAAAGUUUAAUUGUAACAAUUGAAAUUACGCCUAAAUUGAUUGUAAUUUCAACUGCGGCAGUAGGAAAAGUAAUUUUAAAUAAAAAAUAAGCUUUUGGCCGCAUAUAUACUAUAAUAUAAUUAUUAUUUUUCAAUUGAAUAUGAUCAUACUCAAUAAAAUUAUUUUGUUUACAUCAAAUUAUAUUUGUUUAUAGCAAUAUCACUUUCAGACGCAAAUGGAUUGUCAUUUUCUCCAUUGGUUUAUUGUAGACACACUGAAUUAUUAUUCACUGAUAACCCAGACCAUAUACCUAUCAACUAAUAUUAUUAUUCCAAGAUAAAGGUGUAAAAUGAACCAAAUGAGUAUCUUUCUAUCUUUCUCUAUCUUUGAAAAGAAAAUAUCACCGAUGAUAAUUCAUAAGAACUUAAUAUGCAUGCACGUGAAAGAAAAGUACAAUUUAAGAUUAAGCAGUAUAAUUUAUUUGAAGGGUUAAUUGUAUACAGCUCCCUAUAAAUAUGUCGAAUCGUAAAUAUAUCUCUACAAAAUUUAACUUUUUAUAUUUAUUUCUGUGUAAAUCCUAAUAUUUUUAAAUAUAUCUCCAUUGUUAUGAUCCGUUAGAAAAAUAUGCUUAAUCAGAAGCAAAGUAUUUAAUCAUGAUUAGUGAAUAAGAUAAAUUGAUUUUUUUAUUCCUCUUAUAUAUUUGUGAUGGUGGAAAAAAAAAGAUAAUUGUUGAAAAUUUUUGGAAAGGUAUUUCUGCAUAUUUCUAAUAGUUGGAAUUUUUGUAGAGACGUAUUUGUGAUGGCAUAUCAUUUCACUUAUUUUCUGUUAAAACAUAAAUAAUACUCUAACUGUAACAGAUCAAAGACACAAAUAUGAAUAUCACUGAAUUUUUACAAUAAUAUAUAUAAAAAUUGAACUUUAUAAAAAUAUAUUUACUAUUUGAUAUAUUUACAAGGAGCUGUUUGAAAUUAAUCCUUUGAAAUAGAAUUUUUUGGACGGAACUUAAGAUCUCUCCUCUUGAAGAACAGCAACACCAAGUAUAUGACAAGAUCAAAUCAUCUAACGAAAAUAACUAGCAGUUUAUAGUUUAAAUUGUCUACAACUCCGUGCGUAAAAUUUUUUGGGUACCGAACAAUUUUGCCUCUCAUCUGUGACUAAAUCUGUAAUGAAAUUACCUUUGGAAAAUUUCUGCGCAUGGAAUUGUAAAAGAUAUUCUUUCAAAAUUUGUACUAAAUUAUUGUACUACAGCAGGUUGUGUGAUUAUGAUUGGAGAGAUCUGUUUAUGGAUUCCUUGGAAAAGAAAGGACACUAUCCUACUCCCAUAUGCAAGAGAGCUGAUAGGUUGGAGAUGCCCACCCCACUACUCCUUUUUGCUUGGUGAUGUCAUAAAAGGAGACCUCCCCCAAUCAAAGAAAGAAGUUGGUGGUGCAAAAAUAUACCUACUUCCUUUAUCCCUUAGUACAAAUUUAGGUUUUAAAUUUAAGGUGUGAGUUAUCAAUUAUCAUAUUUUUAGCCUACUGCGUUAGAUAUAGCCGGUCUGAUUUUGAUAUCGUAAGAAAAUUUUGAUUGAAGUUUAUCAAUUUUACUAACUAAAUUUAGUAAAUUUGAUUUAUUUCUAAUAAUGAUGGCUCUAGUACUAUAAUAUUUCUUUCACGCCAAAGAAGCCGCUUCUAUUGAUAAUUGAUAUGGUUGUAUUGAUAUGGAGUAGUUCUAAAGCAUUAUUCAAAUCAUUGCCUUUAUAGAUUGCUAAUAUGCUGGUAUUUUUGAAGUUUGAAAUCGUACAUAAAUUAGCUGGUAGUCUUAUUUAUGUAAUACAGAUCAACUUAUCAUAUGUUGUAUAGGUUUGAAUAGAGGUACCUAGAACAUUUUCUAUUAGGUUGAUUUCAUGGAUGUGCUUGUGGAAAGUAUUCUUUGUGAUAAAUAUAUUCUAUCUAUUGUUUUUUAUAUUAAGUUUUUGCAUUGAACAUUUUCUAUUGGUUUUUAUGUAUGUCAUUGAGAAACAAUUCAAAGAAAAAUGCAGAAUAUAUAUAUUGGCUUAAAUGGACUAGCAUCCUGUCCUGUGACGGGAGGUCAUAUUGGACCGAGUCAUGUUCAAAAUGACGCGAGGCUGUGUGAAUCGAGUCAUGUUCGAAGUGACGUUAGGCUGAUUGAGCCGAGUCAUAAUCGAGAUCCGUGAGCGCUGUAUCUGUACGCUUUAAGGGGCCGUUUGGUUGGAUGUAGUUGCAGAAACAGUGUAGUUGAAAAUACAUGCAGUUGCAAAUGCUGCAGUUAUAACUACACCUAGUUUGUUUGGUUUUACGCAGUUGCAACUGCUGCAGUUACAUUUCUUCUGUUUGGUAAUAUGAAGCUGAUAGUUGUAUUUAUGAAUUUUGUCACCUCUUCAGAUAGAGUGGUGAGGUUACCUUCACUAAACAUAAAAUAAUUGUAUAAAUUUAUUAAUUAUUUAAAUUUACUAUUUAUAAAUAAAUAAGUAGAUAUAUAUAAUAUUUUUAUAUUUUUCAAUAAUUCUUCAACUUAUUAAUCGACACAUUUAAAAUUUUUAAUUUAUUUAAUUUUAAUAUGUAAAUCAAACUUUAAAAAUUUAAACGAUUCUCUCAUUUUUUUUUUAUCAAAUUUAAUAAUUAUAAUUAAUUAAAACUUAUUAAAUUAACAUACACGAUCACAUUCUAUAAAAAUUUAGGGAAAAAAAACUAUAUUUAUAUUUUAAAUAAAAUAAAUUUAAAAAAAUUAAUUUUUUGCACAAAGCUUGUAUUGUCUAAAAAAUUUUAUUAGUAUGAGUUUAUUUAUAAGUAUUUUUAUUUACCUAUAUACAUAUAUUAUUUAUUUAUUUAGCUAUUUAUUUAUUUAUUUAUUAUUGUUAAUUUGUUGGUGAUCCUAUCCCUCACCAACUGCUGCAGUUGAAACUACGACCAAUUUGGAUGUAGUUCCAACUGCAGCAUUUGGGUCUUCUUGUGCAGUUGGAACUGCAGUAGUUGAACUCAAUUACACUAAACCAAACAAAAAAAUUGUGGCUGCACGCAUUUGCAACUGCACUACAGUUGCAAAUGCGUACAACCAAACAGCCCCUAAAUGAAUUGAUUACGUAUUUCUAAACUCGAGCUUUUGGGAUUAAUAAUUAGUGCCAAUGAUUCGACAAGUGGUAUCAGAGCCAGAGGUCACAGGUUCGAUUCCUAUGCUGGAGGGGGGAUUGUUGGCAUCCUAUCCUGUGGUGUGAGAAAAUUUAAAGAAGUAUAGCACUUAACUUGGCUCUUCUAGUAUUUAAUUUGUUGCUAUUUCUUGCACAUAUUGUACAUCCUGUCCUGUGGUGUUAGAUAACUACCAAUAUUCUCAUUUUAUUUAAAAAUAAUGAGAAGAAAAAAAUUAAUUAGUAAAUACUAAGCGACCUAUUUUAUAAAAUUAUCUAAUUUGAAGAAAAAAAAUAUUACUCAUUUUCACUAUUUCUAACUAUAUAAGGCUAUAUAUACCAAUGCAACUUAUGCAUAACAUAUUGAUGAAAUAGUAAAAAAGCUGGAUUAAGUGAUAUAACUUUAAAUCUUUAGAAGGCAAAAUAAAAUUUUUUAAAAGAUUAAGAGAUAAGAUAAAAAAAGGAAUAUUUAUGUUUAAAUUUUUCAGCAUUUUUGCCGUAAAAAAGUAGUGGUAAAAACGCCCACAAUUUAUCUUAAUUGUGGACUAUUUUAAGUUCACUAUCCAACCUUUGAAUUUUUUUUAUUUGAAUUAAUUAUUCAAUUGCAUUUUUAUUCUAAAAUUUGAACGCAUCGAUCAUUUAUCUCUACAGAUUAUUUAAUAUACUAUAUGUAAUUCUUGUAAUUAUAAACUAAUUAAAAUAAAAAUUAGCUUAAAUUUUAAAGUUAAAAUAUUAUUAUUGAGAAUUAAAAAUUAAAUAAAAAUUAAAAAAGAAGUUGAACUCUUUUGUUUUUUAAACCAAAAUUCUUAUAUUAAUUGGAUACGCCAAAAUAAAUUAUUGAUGAUUCGAUGUGAUUUGCUGCACCUCUACAAUGUUAACACCCCGACCGUGAAUCACGUGGUUUGAUGUACUCGACACACCAAUCAAUUUUUCUGAGUUAAUAAUAAAUAAUAAAUUUCCACUAACGUUAUGAACGAGUAGUUGGCUAUUCUUUUUUUAAAAAAAGUGGGUGGCCAAUUUUUGUACCAUUAUUUUUUAGGUUAGUUGCGUAAUUAAGCUAAAAGAUAUUAAUUUUUUUUAGCUUAAUGCUAAGAGGUUCUAUUGUCUUUUAAUUCUUUUAUUAAUUUUUUGGAAUAUCUCUUUAUGUUAUUAUUAUUAUUAGGGAAAACUUCAAAAACCCCCCUGUGGUUUCACACUUUUUCAUUUUAGUACCCUGUGGUUUGAAGUGUAUCAAGUUAGUACCCUGUGGUUUCUCACUUUAUCACUUUAGUACCCUGUGGUUUAAAAUGUAUCAAGCUAAUACCCUGUGGUUUUGCACUUUAUCACUUUAGUACCCUGUGGUUUCACACUUUAUCACUUUAGUACCUUGUGAUUUAAAAAACUAUAGGGUACUAACUUGAUACAAAAUUAAAACCACAGGGUACUAAAGUGAUAAAGUGCAAAACCACAAGGUACUAACUUGAUACACUUUAAACCACAGGGUACUUAAGUGAUAAAGUGAGAAACCACGGGUACUAACUUGAUACAUUUUAAACCACAGGGUAUUAAAAUGAAAAAAAUUGAAACCACAAAGGGGGUUUUUGAAGUUUUCCCUUAUUAUUAUUCUAAUGAAUCCUCUGUAUCAUUAUAAGCCAGUGUUUCUCCCAUUCUCUCACUACUUGCUCUUAAUUUAGUCCUCCUUAAUGCCCCUCUUCCAGCAAGAAGAAUCAACCUUUGGGAAUAUGGCUUAAUUUUGUGAAAGAUUCCCGGAUCUCUCGCAAAAAAUGAACAUUAUUGAGACACAUUAAUUUGGUUCCGGAUUCCUAUAAUCAUUGAUAUUGGCCCCAUCUAACAAUACUAGGUAGAAUAAAAUUAGAGCAGAUAAAUAUAGAAUAUAUUUAUAUAUUUUUCGAUGAAACCACGAAAAGUAUAUCAUUAGUUAUUUAUUAUGAUAUAUGAAACACAAUAUUACAAACCAAAAAUAAUCAAAAAAAAAAAAAAAAAUUUACCGUACUUUCUCACUCACCACACAUAGAUUACUUUUCUAUUGGUCUAUUUAGUAGCUAGGACUGUUGAUGCACCUCGAGUACUUCAAAUGCACGAUUUUUGUAAAAUUUUUUGAUUUGUGUAUAAUUCUUUCACAUUAUAAAUGUCAAUACGUCAACAACAGUAUUAUUAUUAUUUUUUUUUUUAAGUUCGGAGAGACACUGGAGCACAGCAGUCCGUACUCAUUCGACACCACUUGCACAUGUGCACAAAAUAAGCUCUAAGUCUGAUCUAUUAAUGUGCAAAUACAGCUUUAUGUAUGGCAAUUUCCAAAUUUCUGGGAGAAGAACAAACGGUCAAACUGAAUCCGCUGAAUCCAAACAGAGACGGGGUAAAUAAAGAGAAACAACAACAAGAACAAUGUCGCCAAAACAUUUCUUUUCCAAAACAUUUAUUUUCUUCUCUUUUUUUUUUUCCAGUAUAGAAAAGUUCAAAUCAUAAGUAUAAUAAUAUAUAAUGCGCGCGUCCUCUCGGAUAAACAUCAAUUGCCAUAAGUAGGAAACACUAACAUUCGAAAACAAUCAAGAGAAACUAGAGUACCGAGCUCUUGUAGGCAAUCGCACUUUGUAGAUAAAAAUAGGAAAAGAGCAAUACAAACCUGGGAUUACAGAGCACAAAUGAUAUUUGUACGAGAAAACAGCUCAGCUUGGAAACAGUCUGAACAUUUGAACGAGCGAGCGAGCGAGCGAGCGAGCUUAGGACCGAUGCUGCUGAUACCCCGCAUUACAGAGAGGGAGGGUCUUUCUUACGUACGUACGUACAGAGGAGGAGGAGGAGGAGGAGGAGGAGCAGAGCAAGUGAUGAUUAUUAUUUCUGUACAAAUUAAAACAGGGGAGGCAGGAGGAGGAGGAGGAGGAGGAGGAGGAGGAGGGAGUAAUUGUGUUGUGGUGUUGUGGAUCAAUGGAGGUCGUAGAUGUUGGGGUCGGCGGCGUAGGAACCGAGGAUGCGGACGAAGACGGAGAAGCGGGAGAUGUCGUCGAUGGCGUCGCGGACGUUGGGGUCGUGGGCGGAGCCCUCGCAGUCGACGUAGAGGACGUGGGGGAAGGCGCGGAGGGAGCCGCGGCCGCGCACGUCGAGGAUCAUGACGGGGGCGGCGCCCUCGGCGGGCGAGUUGAUCACCUCCAGCUUGGUCAGGUUGAUGUUGCGCCUGGAGAAGGCGGACAGCACCCUCAGCAGCACCACCAUCGACCCCCCGCGGUGGGCGAUCACCAUGCUCGUCUUCUUCUUCUUGCUGCUCUUGUUGUUGUUGUUGUUGUUGUUGUUGUUGCUCCCGUCGCAGCGGUGGUGAUCAUGAUCAUGGUGGUGGUCGUCUUUGGAGAGCAUGAGGAAGCGGGUGACGUUCCAGGACUCGUCCUGGAGGCCGUGGGCGAGGACGUCGAGGCCGUAGAGGAGGGCGGCGCGGGGGCUGGCGAUGGCGGCGGUGUCGAGGAGGCGGCGGGAGCGGAGCAUCUCGACGGCGCCGGCGGUGUCCUCGACGGGCUCGCGGCGGAGGCCGAGGAGGGAGAGGGCGCGGCCGCAGUGGGCGAGGGCCAUCGGGUGGCUGAUCACGCGCCGGAGCUCGGCGGGGCGCACCCCGGGCAUGGCCAGCAGGCAGUAAUGCACGAACAGGCUGAUCUCCCGCACGAUCCGCAGGUCGUGCCGGAGCAGCAGGUCGUAGUUCCGCAGCGCCGUCCCCUCCAUCGUGCUUUCCACCGGCACGAUCGCCCGGUCCGCCGCCCCCCGCUCCACCGCCGCGAUCGCGUCCGCGAACGCCCGGCACGGCACCGUCUCGCACUCCGGGAACGCCGUCUUCGCCGCGAACUCGCUGUACGCGCCCCGCGCCCCCUGGAACGCCACGCGCAGCCGCUCCAUCUGCGCCGCCUCCGCCGCCCACCCGUCGAUCCCCGGCGCUGACGCCGCCGCCGACCCGUUGAUCCCCGGCGCCGCCGCCGACCCAUUGAUCCCCGGCGCCGCCGCGGCCACCACCGCCGCCGCCAUGUGCGAGGCUUUGCGAGAUCUACCGGAGCCGAAGAGGAAGACCUGCCGCUGCUGGUGGUGCAGCUUCUUCUCCCCGUUCCACCCCGCUGCCGCCGCGGCGGUGGCGGUGGAGAAGGGAUUGGGGAGAGCGCACGCCAUGGCGAUGGCGAAUUUUGGGGGGAUUUUGGGGAGAAGAAGAAGAAGAAGAAGAAGAAGAAGAAGAAGAAGAAGGGGGAUGAUGGAGAGAAUGGUGGUUGCGUUUGGGCGACUUUGGGGAAUUGUUUAAUAAGGCGACUCCGCGGGUAUAAAGGACAAAGAAGAGGGGUUCGGAAGAUGAAAAGGUGCGGGGUUAUUAUUUUGACGAUUUUGCCCCUGACUGAAUUUUAUACUGCCACACUUGCACCACGUCAAUAAUAACAAGCCAAUCACAUUUCUUCAUUUCAAAUUAAAGUAUGAUAAAAAUAUUUUUUAUAAUUAUGAUUGGACAUAUAUUUUUAAAGAAGAUAUUUGAUUGGUGUUACGUUACGUCACUAAUAUAGCCGUUAUAUUCUAGAAUUUUUCGUGGAUUGGUGGGUGACUUG